UAAAGAAGACUGUUAAGUUGCUGAGAUGACCGGUUCUGCGAUUCCAACUCAGCUAGAAACCUGCAACAUCGACAUAAUAUGUCCAAUAUACCCUUGACUCUAGUGACUUUUAAAACCAAGAACUAACCAGCUUUGUGAGACGAGCUCGAUGCUCUCCAGCUUUGCAGGUCCUUCGGCAAGCCUCACCGGUGGCGCUGACGAAGAGGCCUUCGUUGUCGUGGCCGUAGCCGAGGGCGACUUUGGGGACUUUGGAGCGGCGGAAGGUGAGGGUUUCGGUGGAGAAGUCGCCGAAGGUGAGGAACCGUCGCUGUAGGAGACUUAGUAGAGGUAGGUUUUGGACUUUGAGCUGCAGCCGGGGGAGUCGAGGUGGCAGCAGAGAGGGGAGGGGCAAGGGAGGGAGGAGAAGGAGGAGGAUUUUCUCGGGUCGAAAACCGGGUCUGUUUGGGAGUAGCAGUGUUUACAAGAGGCGCAUUGGAACCAGACGACAUCGGAGCCGGUGUCGAGGACCAUGUAAAGGUAUUUUGGGGGAGAGCCGAUGCCGAUGCGGGUGAAGUACUCUCCGCUGCCUUGGGAGAGGCCGGAGACGAUGGAGGAGCUGAACCCGGAGGAGGGUGGGCCGGGUCGGGUGCGGUUGUAGGCGAGAGAGGUGAGAGAGUUGAAGCGGAGGGAGUCGCGGCGGAGGCGGAGGUGGAAGAGUUGGGAGGGGGUUUGGUUGGAGGAGAGGGCGUCGAGGUGGUGGAGAGGGAGGGAGAGGGAAGAUGGGUCGGAGUCGGGUUCAGAUGUUUCUGAAAAGGAUUCUGGUUGGGAGAGAGAGGGGGUGGAGGGGAGGGGGGAGAGGAGGAGGGUGUGGUGGUCAAGGGUGGCGGAGGAGAGGGAGAGGAGGAGAGUGAAAAAGAAGAGAUGAGGGGUCUUCUUCUCCUCCAUUUUGUUUGGGCAGUGGGGAAGUGGGGAGAUGAAGGAGAAGAAGUGGGAGAGAGAGUGAGGGGCCGGAGAUGAUGGAGAAGCUGAAGCCGGAGGAGGAUGGGCCAUUGGAGAAUUGGAUCUGAUCUCUUCUACUUGCAGAACUGAGGUUAGGAAACUGGGUUUAGUGGCUAAGUUUCGAUCUGGGGUUUUGUUUUGGUGGACUGAUUUAGAAGUCGAUGAUUCAAAAUGGGUUUGGAAUUGCUCUGUGGGUAAAAUUGUCAUCUCAAUACCUUGGUCUCAUACAUGUGUCAACAUGUUAGCCACGCUAGUUACAUAACGGGUUCAAUUGACGAUAAGGGCAAAUCAGUCGAGAAUUCAAAAUAUAGGGGUAUACCAGUUUAAAAAAAAAGUGAGGGACAAAACUGAUUUUAGGUGUAAACUACAAGAUGUCACAAGUAUUUACUCCAAAAAAAAAGACAUUAUAAUGGCAAAACCUCAGCAAGUGAACAAACAAGGUCGUGAUAUAUGCAGAGUUCAUUACAAAGAGAACAAUUUUAUUUGGCUAUCUUCUACUGCUAAUCAAGUUCACCGGAGUUAUAGCUGUAUAUUGAAGUUUACCUUAGUAAAUAUGGUUGGCAUUUUACCGCCGCCGUAUGUGCCAAAAUGAAUUAUAUAAGAGUGCAGUCACAAUGAAACAUUUGCUUGGUUGCCUUCUGUACAAUGUUAAGACUAGUGAGUGGUGACUCAGACUGGUAGCCGAAACUAACUGCGUUGUCUUGCCAUGGAGUAAUGACUAGGGAGAGACCCGAGCACCACCUUACCUCCCUCUCUAGCAUUGCCUUCGAGGGUUUAGUUCAUGCUGUUACUUUGUCCAUCUAAAACGAAAGAGAUGGAAAAAGAAAGCUCAUACAACCUAAAACAUCGAAUGCGUAUAUAGAAAAGUACAUGAAACUCAACUCAAUAUCAGCCAGUAAUGUCAAAAACAUCCGAUUAAAAACCAAGAAUGCUUGAAAUACAAUGUCCUCCAUUUGCAUAUUUGAUAUUCCAGUGGGGAAAGAAGCCAGGCGCCAUGUUCAGACAAUUAUAAAGACUAGUUAUCCGCACUAAACUGCAUUCUUUGAGCAAAGUAUUUACAUACAACAAUAGCUGAAAGACCAGUAGUCUGCUACAUCCAGCUUUCUCAUCUUGAACUUCAUGCAGGCCGAGAAGCUUUGAGUAUGAGAUUGCCCCUCAUAUUACAUUUUUUUUACCAAUCUAGCAUAGGCUGUGUUCUUGUAGCUACAUGCAACGGGAAAAGGUUUCAGUAACUUCAACCAAAACAGAUACGCUAUGAGAAAAGCAAGUAAAUUUCAUCUAUAAUUAAGAAGGCAAAAUUACAGCUUCCCUGAUGGAGAAAAAUAAUGGUGCUCUGCUUUGCAUCCACCACAAACCUGUCAACCCUUAUUUGCAGAGAACUUGCUAGCCUUUGGUAAGGAUUUAUAUUAUUUCAUAUUAAUCUUUGAUUGCAAAGAGAAGAACAAGUGUCUGUAUAUUAGUCUAUUUCACUAAACAAACAGAGUAAAAAGAUGUCGCUCUCGAAGUUGCUGGAAUCUUGAAUGUCCUUUGCUUGCACCAAAGGAGUAAGCGAAGUUAGCUAACAUAAUGGGGUUGUUGUUAGGGGGCUUAUGCUACGAUCCUUGAAUCAGACAUUCAGAUGUUAUACUCCUUCCAUGUUGGAGAAGCUUCUGCUAGACAGUCACCCCCAAAGUAUCAUUUUUACUAUCAUGAUUCUGAAUCACAUCAGCACUAAAAUAGCUAGAUCUGAUUUGGGUUUUCCAACUCUAAAGGUAAAAGAUGAUGUACACACAAAUAAGAAGACUUCAGCAAAUUAAGAGGGUUAAGAAAACCGUGAUAUUCAUGGAAACUAUCAUGCCAGAACUAGUAAAUUUUAUUAUUGCCUACUCACAAGUAAUAUGAAACUAAGAUUAAUGAAUUUAACUUUAAAUGAUUAGCAGCUGACAGAAAAAAACAGUCAAGGAUACAAUGGAGGAUACAGAUGAAGUUAAUAUGCUGAAACCUGAUGACUUCGUACUGCAAAUUUGUGUCAAUAAACCAUGUCACAAAGGAAAAAGGUCACUUUCUAAAUCAGACAAGAGCAUACUACAAAUAUAUAGAAGAAAAGAAAGGAUAACUUACCCUAGAUUGCACUCUGAUUCCUAAUUGUACUCUGGAGUUUGCUCAUUUACAGAAUAUCUUCCUUCUCUUGCAUACUUCUGCUAGAAGAUUGAUCCUCUUCACAUCAGUCAUGAGAUUCCAAGGGAUCAUAUCUAUCGUCAAAAGUAUCUCUUUCAAGAGACUUUCAACUAUGACUCUCAUAUGUUUUCUCAAAUCUUUUAACAUUUGACUUCUGGUGCGAGUUGGACAGAGAAGAUGAUCUGCUAUCAUGAUACUUGGAUCUACUAUCAUGAUACUUGGAUGAGCGAUUUCUUUUAUGAUGCCUGGUAUCAGUCCGCUGUCGAUGAUCUUGUUCACUCUGCCCAUGAGACCAUCCAUGACUUCGAGACCUUUCUGAGCUUCUGGAGUAAUUUUCGGUAUCACGACUAUCACUGAGACUUCUAGAAUCUUCUAGAUACUUGCAGUGGAGGAGACUAUGUCUUGGUUCCUCUUGAUCUUUGGCAGAAGCAUGCCUGGAAGUUGUGGAAUGGAUAGUAUAACGUGAAUGUGAUUGUUUCCUAGAACGACUUGGGCUACCUCCCUCUGACUCGGUAUUUCUUUUUGUUGGAUUAUCAUCAUCGGUGGUGAAGUCAGUAGCAGUAGGUAGUUUGAAUGGACCUUGCCCUUCAAUUGCUAGUUCGAAGCAUCCAAUCCCUCCAGCUUGCUUAAUUUCCUCCAUGUAUUCCUCUAUAAUAUCCCUGGUAACCUUCAGACAGGAUAAAAAGUAAAUGUAAAUUCAGUAUAAUGAAAUGGUGUGAAAAGAACUGAUGUCAAUAUUUCAGGACUUUUCUUCGAUUCGUCUUAGUCCCCAACCUUCACUGCCACAAAAAAUGCAUGGUGUGAAAUCAUAACAACAAUGUUUUUAGCUCUAAAGGCUAUAUUUCAAACAAACAAUAUGCUCAAGAACCAUUUUGUGUUACAAAAUAAGAAAACUGUAAGCCAAUAAUAUUUUAGCAGCUUGACUGCCCUUAAGCAUACUGGCCAAUUACGCACCAAUCUCGAAUGUAAAAGGAUUCAAUUUUCUUUUCCUUUGCUCUUACUUAAAACUCUAUUCCACUUUUUAUUUUUUUGAUACAAAACUCUAUGCCACUUUUGAUUGUUGAAUUACUUUCCAUUUUGAUUAGCAUACAGUCAAAAUGGGGCAAUAAUAUCUCAGUUAAUCAAAUGGGGCAUAUGUCAUAAUAUAUGUAAGCAAGAAGAAGAAUCAAAAUUGAAUGUCAUAAUAAGAUAAACUUGAUCCUUACCUGCAAAGUUGUACGCUUCACCUUUUUGCCACGAUAUGACAUCCUUCGUCGUUUGUAGUCCCUUUCUUCUGCUAAUAACUCUUCUUUUGUCUUAGUCUUGUUAGUUUCCUUAAGUAAACCAACAAAGAACAAAGAAUGUAAGAGAUUUUAAAAGUGAGGAGCAAUUUUCCAAGAUUCACAAAAGAUUCUUUUAAGCAGUAAUGCCUGAAGAUAACAAUCUAGUAAAACAUUAUAUAGGAAUGCAUGAAGAACCAUAUAUCAAGCAAUCACUAGGCUGAUUCCUUUAGCCACUUAGCCAUACGUUAAAUCCACUAAACAUUACCAGACUGGUAUUAUGUUUCUUCUAUUUUAUCCCAAAAUAACGGGUAUUAUGUUUCUUCUAUUUUAUCCCAAAAUAAUACUAUUAAAUGGUACCUGGUUAUUUGAUUUUUGCCAAGGCAGCCCAUCAUGGUCGAUAAUAGGUCUAUACUGACUUCGGUUUUUCCGCUCCCCAUCAGCUCUUUGUGAGACAUAAUCAUGCUCAAGUACUCUACAAAGAAGGAAACUUGGCAUUUAUUACAUUAGAAAUCUAAUUAAAUGAGCAUUAUAGUUUACUUCUUUUAUCAUCUCUUUCCAUAGUUAUCAAUACAACUAGAGUUUUAACUUGUUAAAAGUAAAACAAAUAAAACCUGCAAGCAAGUUGAAAAUAAAAGAAACUGAUCAUAAUGUCAUACCGUUGAUGUCUAGUAAGGGUUUGUGAAACUUGUUCUCCAUUAAAUUUUUCUUCAAGCAUGAACCGUUCAUGCAACACUGCAAUGGCUGCUGCAACCUGAGACACAAAUACCGCCUUACUGAUAAUGAUUCCCUUCAUCUCACUGCUUAGUGGUUUAGUAAUAUCUUCAUCCCUAACACAACUGCCCUCAACAUCCCAAUUCGAUGAACCCUCUUCUAAACCAUGAAACUCUGUAUCUAGUAUGCAAUGCUUAAGAAUGUUUAUGGCGAAUAAUUUUCCAUUCACUUCACCAUAGAAUUUGGAACGCUAGAUGCCAACCACACUAAUACCUCAACCAAAGUUGGACACUCAAAAUGCCCACUCUCCGAAUCUCUAUAAUUUACCUUACCUUAAGCUUCCCUUAUAAUUGCCCUCAAGCACAGGGUAAUCAGCAUAACUAUAUGAUCUCCCAUGGCCACAUCAAUCACAAUCCCAUACUUGGGUGAACUUGCUACAACUCCCCAAAUCCCACUCUCUAAGAACACAUAACCCCAAAAUGGCACGUAGUACACAGCUUGAAUACAUAGAAGGAUACUCAUUCCAUCCUUGAACUUCAUUUUUUAUGGCCCAAGACUCUGAUGGCAGAAAUCUACUACAUACUUUGUCACAAUCCAUCAUCUCCCUAACUUCUUCAACGGAGAAAUUCGCACACUCAGCUGACAAAACUGAGGGAAGUGUGAAUGUCUAUCGAAACCAUCCAGCGCAGAAGAGUUAACAACACCAGGGCAAUCAGGGUAGAAAUAAUUGCACCCAUUCAGUAGAGAUCAUUCAGGUGGGGAUUCCGCAUAGUAAUGCUCCAAGGACAAGCAUAGAUCACCAGAUGGAAUAAAACAUUCACCAGAUUGGGAUUGGUCGGUGGAUUUGAGGGUUUUGGGGUAAUGGAGCGGUGGGAUAAGGUGGUGGAGAGGCCGGGGGCAGCGGAGAAAGUGGGAGAAAAGGGAGUGAGGGUGCAAACGGUGAUGAGGAUUAACAGGACUGAAAAUAUGACAAUCACUGUCAUCAGAAUCAUCUUGGCUCGGGACAGAGGAGAGUAGAAAGCAAGUCAAGGAUCAGAGAAGAGUCACGAAUGAGGCUGCUUAGAGAUGACAUUGUCGUAAAAAGGUCAGGAGGCAAAGCAGGAGGAGUGUUGACGUUGGGUUGUGCAUUCUGCGGCCGAGAGUGGAACAAAUUGGGUUGGGAUUAGGGUUAGGAAUUGAGGCAGGGAAAGUGAAUGGUGUGUGAGAAAACUGAGCCGGGGUGUGGUUCAUGACAUAAAAUACCAACCUAUGCUUAACUAACACUAGCGAAAAAUCCACCUGCAUUAUAUACAGUAGCAGGAGUUAGAAUCUUCUGUAAACACUUCUCCUCUAUCCUAAAAACAAAGCUUUAUAUCUAAAUAUGAACAUCCAUGAACCUUUAUAGCUAAGUAUGAACAUUUAUAAACUAAAUAUAUAGAAAAAAACAGACCCAGACUGUAAUCCAUACUGAUACAAGAUUAAUAGGAUAAAGAAGUGAACUUGGUUUUCAGAUUCAUAGAAGCAGAAAAUUAUCGAAUCAAAUGGAACAAAUUGAGAGCAAUUAGGAUUCCAUGUAGUUAUACCAAAGCCGAAUUGAAAAUUAAUUGAAGGAUUUAGAGAGAGAGAGUUACCGGAGAUCGAGCAAGGUGCUGAAAUCGGCUGCGACGUCGUUUCGUUCUCAACCUCAAUAGCAAGGUCGGAGCUCACAGUGCAGAAAACUCGGCGCCUUCUCUUCUGUUUUAGUUUUCAGACUCUUUUUUUCUUCUUCUUUUUUUAAAUGGUGGGCCCACCCCGCUAUAGCCCGCGACACCUCGACCGCCUAGACACGUGUCGUCUUGUCUAGGCCGCAUGAAAUAAUUUUUUAAUUAAUUUUUUUAUGUUUUGCUUUUUUAAAAGCUGGGCCCCCGCUAUGACACGCUCACCAGUGACCGUCUAGACACGUGUCGUGUCCGUCCAGCCCGCAUGACUUAAUUUAUUUAAUUUUUUUCUUUUUCUUGUAUUCAAAUGUCAAUGGCGGGUCCCACAAACCGUAGGAACCACGCCGCCAGAGAUAGUCCGCCUUAACCGCAGUAAUUAAAUUUUUGUUUUAAUUUUUUACGAUGCCUGUAAAAAUCUGCUUAUUGCAUCCUUUUUUUAUCAGAGACCAUACAGGAUUGCACAAACGAGAAACUACCAACUUCACUGAGAAGAUACAGAGAGGGGAAAACAAAAUCGACACAUUGCAUUUCAGGCAUUAAUACUCUGGUAUUCUGAUUCAAGGCACAAUUCAUUUCUGGAUUCAUAUUGUGAGGAUAUAUACACUAACUUUACAGAGCAGGCACAGCAGGUGAUCAUUAUGCUUUUUGGUAUCUUGUACACGGUUUACAAGCAGAGCUUCUCUUUACUCCUACAAAGACAUAAAUCGAUGCCUUCUAAUACAUGUAAGAACAAACACUCACCCACUGUACAAAUGGCUCUAUACAACAAUGACGACAAAACUUCAUGCCACUGCCUUCGGGAUAAUAAUAAUAGAGUGGCAGCUAAGCCAGAUGUUUCAUUCAACAAUUUCCCUUCCAAGUGGAUCAGCACAGUCAUCUCCAUCGCGAGCAAUAACAUCCAGGGUGGAGAAAUGUCUUGUGGCACCUUCGCAGUCCACAAAAGGGCAAUCCAAACGCACGACACUAGAUCCCCACACUACCCAUCUCCCUCUGGUUGUUCCCCAGAACAAGCAUCCUGAUUGACCUGGUUCUCAUUUGGAACGCGGUCAGCAGGAACAUAUGCAUAUCCUUUGGGUAAUUGCAUAUUUUUCAACGAUGCCUGAUCUGAUGUCAUCACCAAUUCCUUCGAAAACAUCUCACCGUGCUGAGAAGAUUGGACGAUUUGGAAUUAAGAUUACAAUAAUGUGUGAAGAACUUCAACUCUCUUAAAGGGAGGAAAGAAAAAAGUUCUCAAAGAAUAGACGUCGAAAAGUAAAUUACCUUCUUAGAUUUUGACCUGUAUCCACCAUCUUCCAAAAGAUUACAAGAUGCCACAGAUGAUCUGAAAGGAAUCUGUUUCUCAGAAAACUGCAUCCUCUCCGAAAGAUUCUGCGUAAACUGGUUUUGGGAUGUGGAGCUGUCAUCAUCUGUCCUUUGGUCGUUAUCAAUAGUUAUAGGAACUCUAGUCCUGUUCUUAACUGAAAUUGUACUAUCUACAGUCACAUCAUCUGAUCUUUGGAAUGUAUCACUGCAUGAUCUGUAAUCCUCUGUGUGCGCUUUAAGAGAAGUUGUUGCUGAUUCAGAACUAGCAUCCGCUAGCAAGAAAGGACUGUUAGCAAGCACAGAACUGGCGACAUGAUCUCUUUUCACGGCAAGAAGGUCAUGUGAACAAAUAAGUAAUUCCCUCUGCAUUCACAAUAAACUUGUUCAGCUUAAACUACUUCAAGCAAGGAAGUAAAACUUCUUUGAAGGUACAUGCUAAAUACACCCAUAUAGACAAUCACAGGCAGCGGCAACAACUAAUUACCACACCCAACUCCUAACUAACAUGGAAGCUGUGCCAUAGGAUAACAGAAGAGAACCGGUACAUUGAUAACACAAGGAACCAAUAACACAUGCACAUCAUAGACACAUCAAGGCCACACAUAUAACACAGAGUCACAGACCCAGUACUCCAGUAGCACCCACCUUUACUUUCUCCCGUUUGAUAAUCCUUUCGCAAAUAAGGCGUAACCUCUCCAGUUCAGCCUGUACAAAGAUCAAACAUGUUAGAAGUCAAACAGGCAAUUCAAUGUUACUAAGAAAGCAAUAUGACCAAAGAGCUCAAAAAGAAAAAAGGAAAAAAAAAAAAAACAACGUUUUUGCCGAGGCAAUCAGUAAAACCUACUUGAUCGACCAAGAGAAGAUGAAAGACAAAGACAGUUAUAUCAGAUGGCAUCUUCACUGCCUAGCUAGUAGGAUGUGGUUUACUUGAGUUCUAAUGCACAUCACAUAGGAAUCAUAUAACAGAUUUCAUUCUUCUUUUACCAUUUUAGAUAAACUUAUAAUUCUAUUCAAAUCAUUCCAACACAUGUAUAUCACAUGGGCAAUAUAUAUUACUAGCAAAUCUAACUAUUCACAUCUUGAAUCAAAUUUAGGACUACACAAGUCAAUGAACCUAUGUGAACCAAAGAGAGAAAAAGGACCAACAUAGAAAGAAGAGCUAUUUCAUCGAGGGAAACUAAUUCAAGCAGUUUUCUGUACUUUAAGCAAGUGCAUACUGAUGGAAAUACAAGAUCUUAGAGUCUUAGGCGGCAAUAACGAUUAUUAAUAAGUGGAAACAUAACAUGGUAGAUCAUAAGCCCCACCCUUAUUGUAUAAAGGUUCUUUAAUUCCUCCAUUCCAUGUUUUUGUGUAUCAGCCUGCAUUAGUGCAAAAACCCAGAAGUUAAUAAUCAUAACUUAGUAAUGACCAAAAGGGCGUGUUUUACAUAAAUAUAAAUCUAUUAACCUUCGCCCUCUGCUCAAGGCUAUGCCUCUCGCAGUAUGCCUUGUGUUGCUGCUUGCCACCAAGAGCUUUUACAUUCAUAUAAAAAUCUGAACUUCUGCCACAGGAGGGAUGAAAUGUUGACUGACAAUGGCCAUAGCUGCACUGCAGGAAAAAUAAUAAAAGAUAUACAUGUAUAUGAAUCAGGGAUCCUCUUCAUAAGGGGAAAAAAGCCAAUAGAGAAAACUUGUCAAAACAUAAGAUGAAAAAUAUUCGGAAAUGUCCCAACUCUCACCUUUAUGCAGACACCAAAUUUCCGUCGGCAGAUGUAACAGAAAUCAACGCCCUUUGUAACGGUGUCCUGAAAUCCCAUUACAGUUGAGUGUUAUAACAGCAGAAACAUCAAUCCUUAUCUUAAACCAAAAUAUCUACAGUGAGACCAAGGAAACUCAGGUUUGUGAUUGCCAUGGAUAGAAUGCAAGCAUACCAUUCCCUCAAUCGGUGAUACUUGUCCCCUUUUGAACGUUGACUCAAAGACCCACUACCAUAUGAAACAGUGAAUAGCAUCAAUAUUCCGCAUAAUAUCCAGAAGUCUAAAAUAAAUAAAUAAAAAUAAAAAAACAAUUCUACAUUAUUCAUCUGUAGGUAACAUGAGAAGGUUUUACCUCAGCACAAAAAGCAUGGACCCAUUGACCAUCAGAGGAUUUCCUAAAAGCACCAGUUUUCCCACCACAUAAACCACAUUCUGUAGUUAAAUGCUCUUUCUCCCAAAAAUUGGCAGUAGAUUUGCCUUCACAUAACUCACAGUACCAUGGGCCUGUAGAUUCUCUUGUACUACGAUAGCAAUCCAAGUGAACAGCAACCUGUAACAAAAGACCUGGUUAUAGGUUUUCAACUCAAGCAGAUAACAGGUUUAUAAAAAAUAAAAAAUAAAUAAAAUAAGAUCAAAAGAAAGGAAGGAGACCUUGCAACUGGAACAGACUAAAAUCGGGUUUAACAUCGUCUCAGAACGUCUGCAGAUAUCACACAAUCUAGGAUGUUCUUUAGAGAUAUCUGAGCCUGAAUGAACUGCACCAGAGUGUUUUUCCACAGAAACUCUAGGGACAGCCACCCUUGGAAAUGUCUCUUUUGCCCGUGGUAUCAUCUGUGAGGAAAAGCUGGACCUCCCACUAAAGCUGCUCAGCUUCACCAAAUUCUGCAGAGAAAAGAGAGACUGCAUAAGUAAAUUGUAUCCAUUGACGGCCCUAAUAUUACAAAAAAAUUAAAGAUCAUCAACCUCCUGAUGCGCAGGUUCAUCAAGGACAUCUUUCCUAAAUGAUGAAAUCCUAGAAGAGGCAGCCGCAGCAGCAGUUGCAGCUGCUAACACGGCCUGUGCUUCCUUAUGCCGUCUCUCCUUCCUACCUUGCUUCUUUGCCUCUCUAAGCUCGCAAAGAUACUGGUUAACCAGCACUGCAUCCCACUUCAGAUUCCGAGUUGCAUCAAUCUCUUUUGGCAGACUCUUAGCGACAUUACACAUCAAAACAUCUGCAGCAAAUGUAUAAACAGUACAGGUUAACAGUAUGUCCAUAUAAAAAAUCAGAAUACAGAGUAAAUGAGUCAUGCCUGUUAAACUCCACAGAAGAAAGUUAACCACAUACCUGUAUAAUGCUUUCUCGCACUUAUAUUGUUUUGCAACCUAUGCUGAUAAUAGAUGAGCUCUCCUUCCACUUCAUCUUCUGGAGACAUUUCUAGAACUCCCAAUUCAUGAGCCUUAGCCAACUGUUCUAAACCCAUCUCAUCAGAUUUACAGUUGGUAUCAUGACAUUUUGGAUGUAUAUUUUGGUGAUUACAGCAAACACUUGCAUGGGAAGAUGCUUCCACACGAGAAACUUCUCCUUCACUUGAACCUACAAGAAAAACUACAUGUCAAUACCACCCAUGGAAGAAUAAUGGAAACAAGUAUAUAAUUUUAAUCUGUACCAUAAAUUGUGUUCUUUGGAGGCACCCCAUUUUGCAUCUGUGAUAAUGUCUUCUGGAUGGGCAGUUGGGCAUUAGAACCUCCCUCUGGUUUCCUGAGGUAUAUGGUCGCAACAUUGAGCAUAAAAAUUUGAAGAAAAAGAAAAACAAUGUAUCUUAUCAAAUCACAAUACAUGCAAAUGAGCUUCCCAGAGCUCGAGACAAAAUCAAACAGCAUUUUACAGUUCCCGAAUUACAUAUACAAAACAAAAAAUAGAAGCUUACUUGCUUUCAGGAACUGAUUUUUCCACUGAAAACAACGGAUCUACAUUUGCAAUCACCAAGUCAGUCUGCGAAGGAAUAGUAGCCACCACUUCUUGACCUCUUUGUGAAAGGCUGCAAUUUGAGGACUUAACUGAAUAACCUGUCAAUCAUAUAUUGUUUUCAUGUCAAAAGACACACCAAGAACCAUUUCAUUGCUGCAAAAGUCAUCUAUGAAUGAAACACAGUAGACUAGAAUUAACCCAAGACAACAGCAAAUUCAGCCAAAAAAGAGAGAAAUACCAACAGCUAUGGUUAUAGACUGAUCAUCUCCAAAAUAGCAGCAAAUACAGCAACAAAUACUAAAGGAGACACUAGAAGAUAAAAGGGAUUUAGCGGUAGCAACGAAUUCCCAGGAACAUUAAAUACCCAUCAAGAGGACAUGAACUAUAUAAAGUAUUACAGUCUCAUUUUAUAUUUAGUUUAGUGAACUCAGAAAGUUGAUUACAAUUACAAACAUAAGCGCAAAUCAAAGAAAAUGCUUCAGUGUCGCAUGGGAAAUAGAUCUUUUAGAUCUCUUCCCCCCCCCCCCCCCCCCCCUCCCUCCCUUUUUUUCACAGCUCAAAAUAGCUCAAUUACGAUGAAAGCCAUUCGUGAGAAAUGGUCUUCUAUCCCACUACAAGAUCAACAAAUCCACUACCGUUCUAUUAAAUAAAAUAUCAGAUAUUUCCAUCCCCCAUUGGUUCUAUUCCUGAUUCAUAACUCAAAAGUUUUUCUGCCACUCUCCAUUACCAAUAAAGUGUUAAAGUUCACAACUGUGUGACAAAGCUGAACGAGCUGGCCUGGAUCAAUUCUGUCCAAAUAUUUAUGUGCACAGAGGGGUUGUACUCAAGUUUCACUCAAAAUAAUUAAAAACACUUCCUUCAAUGGAAGUUGGCAAUGUUCACUAAUAUGAAUUUUCAGAGCUGCAGGAAUUAAAUUAUCCUCUUGCCAGUAUUGAAAACAUCAGAGUGAACACACUGAACCAGCAGAAACGGAAAGUAUUACCUUCAGGUGAAUGUGUUGGCAAAGAAUCUUGUAACCCAUUGAGCACCGUCAUAUUCUGCAACGACAAGCAAGAAAGUCAUUUUUUUUAGGAAAAAAAAAUUAAUUGAAACAAAAAGUAAGAACAUUAUCAAUAUGCCAGAUGCAUCACAUUACACCACACAACAAGGAAGGAGAGAGAGAGAGAGAGAGAGAGAGAGAGAGAGAGAGANNNNNNNNNNNNNNNNNNNNAAACUUAGCUACUAGACUAAAACUGACCCUCUUUCUUCUAAAAAAAAAGUUAUCAACAGUCACUUGCGCAAACUUCAACUAAACAUAUAAGUAAUAAGUAAUUACGCCAUAAGACAUCCCUAACCUUUUUUGGGGACUAUUAUCAGUCAAUGUUGUAACAGAACAAGCCGUAUAAUAAUCAAAGUCAAUACAGUCUAGACCUUAAUUGAUCACAUGAUAAAACAGAACUGAAUACGGAUUGCUUGUCAAAACUUAAAAUAACAUUUACACAGAGGGCACCUUUAUUAUCUAGAAAUAUUGGAAGUAUGAACGCAGGAAUCAACUUAUGCAAUUGCAUAGAUAUUGUCAAAAGAAUUGCAUAACCAACUUUAGUUUAAUUGAAGUUACCUUCUCAACAAAACUGAUGCACUCGACUUUCAAAUUUUUUGGUCCUCCACUGGUAAUUUUGUCUGAUUUAGUCUUGUCAUGCAACACCCCAUUGUCACAACAGGUCUGGUCUGAUGAUCUGAGAACUUUGUUAUCCUUCAAAAUCCUAACACCACCUUUUGUUCUUCUCCGUGGGGGUACAGAUUUAACAGCUACAGGAUCCGACAUACCAGACUCUGUUGAUGGAGCAUCAGAACCUCCAAACUCAACCGUGGAUGAAAAUGAUGGUCUUAAUUUUGUUUUAAAAUUUUUCUGCAUUAGAUCCAAAUAGGUAUUAUCUUUAAGCCAUUUAGCUAUUCUGCUUUGCACAUCCGGCACCAAACUAUCAUCCUGCAUAAACAAAGUAAAUAUGUCAGGACAAGUGAAGUAGGGAUAACAAAUACUUCUAAAUUCUAUUGCAUAAUAAUUAUACACAUAAAAACUAAAUUAUUUAAAUUGCAUUACCGCAAGUGAUGCAGAUAAAGAAUCAGGUGAGAUGCCAAUCUCCAAUGCCACAUCCUUCACAUCAACUUUUCCACAAUCAAUCAGCUGCAAGAGAAGAAAAUAUAAGACUUGGAAAUGCUGCUGAAGCCAAUAAUUGUAAUGAUAUAUAAUAUCUUCAUUGACCACCUUAUUCAUUACCUUCUGUAAGAUAGGUGUAAGAUUAAGGGCCCCAGAUGCAUUGACAUCCUCACAGCUCCUCUCUAAUUUCCCCCUAUCAGUCAUUGGCAAGCCCUGUGAUCUGCUAUCACUGACCUUAUCGGAAUUAUCUGAAGUCCCAAUAGUGACUGCAACAUUAUCACCAUUUCUUCUGCCAGUUUUUGACUUGUUUGAUUUUUUUGGUGACAAUGUCACAUGAGGGCUGUCUGAGAUAUUUGAAUUCUUGUCGAUGUACACAGAAGGAUCCACUGGUUCAGCAUUGCUGUUAUUCGGUACUUCUGAGUGCUUUGGGCAGAAAGCCUUUAAUUCAACCUGUGUAUCCACAAUAUUGUAAAGCCUGAUCACAACCAUAACCUAGUUCUUAAAAACAUGGAACAUGACAGCAAAUACAGCAAAGAUGAUAACCUUAACAAUUCUCAGACACAAGGAAAACUCUUACAUUAUUGACCCCAAAUUUUGCCCAAAUUUCCAUUCUCUGUCUUGCCUCUCUCGCACACAUUGGAUGGAAAGAAGUUCUGCAAGCACCUGAACCAAAACCCAAAAAUAUAUAUUUACAUCAUGAGGAAUGUGAUCCAGAAGUUGAAACCGAAAUUCCAGCAGAAAGCAAACUGGUUUAAGUAUUAUAAAGGAUUAAGCCCUCUCAAAAGUAUGCCAAGCCCCACUUCACAAGGCCCAUGACAAGUAGGUUAGAAGAAAAAUAAUAAUGUCAUACAAGUAGAGCCAUUGAGAGCUCAAGAUGUAGUCCUGCAUCCCACUAUAUAUGAGAAAGCAAUUUAAUAUGUUCUAAGCCUAUACUAAAAAGAACAGUUGCAAAAAAACUAUUUAAGAUCUGGCACUGAAAUCAAAGUUCAUAUAAUAAGGUCGGUACGAAGCAGACCAUCUAGUUCAUAUAACACCACAAGCAUAAUACCAUGCAUACUCAAAUUGAUGAAGAAGAAAAAAUGUUCCUCACAGACAAGAAAAUCAGGAAGUGUAUUAACUAUUAACAACUCCUAUGAAGUACCCAAACACAAUAAUUAUUCAAUUUUCCAACAAAAGGAAAAGAAGCAAGAAAAUGCUCAAUUGUUUUGCAAUGUAUCUUAAUACGAAGGCUUGCUUAUUCUUUCUUUCCCUCAAAUUUGAUACAUGCAGUUCGCAAAGAAAAAAAAAAAGGGUUUAUGCACACGAACAUAACCACCAGAGCAAUCUGAAAUCUAUACUUAAAACCACAACUAGGCACCUAGUGUAGCAUUCUCAAUUCCCAAAAUAUUAUCUCUUGCAGCAUAGUGGAAAUAAGACUGAUUUAUUAACCAAAAAAAUAAAAAAAAAUCACCAUACAGGCAAAAAGGAAAUUAUAUUUUACAGGACAACUCUACAAAUGGAGAACUAAGCACAUACAACUUUAUGGGAAACAGUAAAAAUAGGAAAUGAAAUUGCAUAAGACAGUAAAGCAACAAAGAAUACCAUGACUGCAUCGAACACAAGCGCCCCACUUCACCUUGCAUAUGUUACAUAUUAAUUUUCUUCGGGCUUCCGGUAUUCCUUUAACAUUUACGAUGGGUUCCACCUUUUCCAUAUCCUCAAUAUAAGCCUCUGGCAUCCAUUGACAGCAAAACAGAUGGGCAAACUCCAGAGAACCACCACUAUCACCAUUCUUCAGAACUGGCUUCAUCGCACCGCCCUGCUUCGAACAAAGCACACAUGGGUUUACUGAAUUACUAACACCAGUGUUGUGCUUACACCAAGAGCAUAACCAUGAAGCAUCUGCAUCUUCUAGCACUCCGUAGCACUUCUGAUGAACCACAACCUUACAAGAACUACAAACAAUCAACCGAUUCGACUUAUUUCCUAUAUCACCCUUGCAGCAAAAAUGGCAUAAAGAAGGAUUCCCAUCACAAGGAGCUGCAUUUAUGACUUUCUCCAACCCUGCAUCAGCACCGAGAACCUUCCGCUUCUUUGAAGGACGCUCAGUUGCUAAAGAAGUCUUGUUUUUAUAACCUAAAAGCCACUCAACACCAUUGGGAGAAUCCGAAUCAGAACAGCUUGGUUUUUCCUCCUCAGGCAAACCACAAGCUGCAACACUAUCAAUUUCCAUUGACUGCACAUUCUGCUCCGUCUUGACCUCUUCUUCAACAACCCCAUUUUCAUUUCCGCCUUUCUCACCAACCUUCUCAACUACACAAUCAGCAUUCUCAUCCUUGCCAACAACCUCAGUAGCAUUCCCACCGUCCUCCCCGGCAGCAACCUCAUUAGCAUUGCCACCGUCUACAUUCUCCUCCUUAACCUCAUUCGAACUACCACCACAACCACACUCCUCACCAGAACCAAGUCCCGCAUCCACAUUUCCAUUUCCAUUCAGCUCAGGAAUAUUCCCCUUAUCCGGAGUCGAAAAACACUGAGUGGCAGCUACCUUACUAAGCUCAGACACCUCAGCCAAGGCUUCGAUAUCAGACAAUGUCACUGGUCUAAAGUACUCCUCUGUCUCUGCCCACAGGCUAUACCCCCGGGCCUUCUCACUCUGCCUCGAAUGCUUCUUAUCCGACGCCGCAUGUGACUUCUUGUGCCGCCUCCGGCUAUCCGACUGCCUCGACAAGAAGCUAGCCAACCCCCUCGGCAACGUGGUGGGGACCACAGUCGAACCACCGCCGCCGCCGCCACCGGCCGAGACGUCUUCCACAACAUCAUACGGCGACCGCUCGCACAAGGCCUUCCUCGCCUGAGAAUACAAAUCCACCGGGUUUUUGGAAACUUCCGGCAGAGUCGCCGGAAUCUUGGACGGAGCCCUAGAAAUCGGGCAGGGCUUCUCCUCCUCCGUGGCGCAGCCCCCGUUGGCCAUCAUCAUCUGCUUCUUCUUUUUCCCGUGACAUCGGCCUCCGGUCAUCACCGACAACCGACAAAUCCCAUCGGCGGCCUCUCGAAAAAAAUAAAAUCAAAAAUUGAAAAUCCCAAUCGUAACCCUAACCCUAAAAAUCCCUCGAAAAUCCAAAUCCGCGCGGCCGGAUCUAAAAUUUGUGAAACGGAAAAGGAAAGACGCUAUCGCCUAAUUCGAAAAAAUCGUGAGAUGUGGGGAGAGAAAGAGAGAUAAAAGUCGCGGCUGGGCGAGGCUAGGGUUUACGGUUAUAUUCUGGUUCGUAUUUCUUUGGAUCCGUUUUUCCGAGUGGGGUGCCCUUUCUCUCUUUUUUUUUUUUUUUUGGCUCCAAAAAAUAAAAGAGAAAUGAAAAUUGUGUUAGAGAGAGAAAGAGAGAGGAGAUAUUUUCUUUCUAAUUUUGACACAUAUACGUGGGGGAAUUGUAGGGUGGGGUGACGCAACUGCUGCAGUGGGAUGUGAUGUACACGUGGCGGGUGAUUAUAGGAGGCGGUGAUGUGUGUCAUUCACCGGGUCAAUUUUCCCCGAUUUGGCAAAUUUUAUUUUCGAUCCACAUAAGGAUGGCAUUUCAGACGGGUAGUCGGGGAUAAAAAACUCAUACUCAUACCUCAUUUUAUUUCUCAUUUUCCGUCCUUGUUUUUUUUAGAAUCAAAUAUCAAAAUAAAUAAAUUUCUUAAUUCAAUCUAAUAGAAACAAUUUAGGUUUGAGUUUGCUACGUUACUUUGAUUAAACAAUCUUUUUUUGAGAAUCAAAAAUUAUAUAAUAGAAAGAAAUUUUUUAUAAAUAAUUAUUAAAAGAAUCAGAAAAGAAUUUUACAUAUAAAAAUAUAUAUAAUAAAUAAUAUAUAUAAACCUUAAUGGGUGGGGACAAAUAUUGAAAUAUCAUACCCGCCCCGCCGCCCCGGACCUUUAGGGCUAGUUUGAUAUUAUUGUGACUUUAAAAAAAAAACUAUUGCUGUUGUACUACGAAAACAAUCAACUGUGAAUUAAAACAGUUUUAUGUUUGGUAAAUAUUAGUUUUAAAAGUGUUGUCAAGAUAAAAUUUAUUAGGGUCUACUUCAAGGGACAUUAAAUUUGACACUAAUUUUUAACCAUUAGAUUUUAAAAUAAUGAAUGGUCUAGACCAACCUUAAAUAUGAUGUCAACAUAUAACUAAUUGAUGUGGCAAAUGACGUGACAUUAUAUAAUUUAAUAAAAAAUCAAAUUAAAAAAAAAAAGAUGGAAAAAUCACACCUUAAAAUCUGGAAAACAAAUCCAAUUUGCUCAAUAAAAAGGAGAAUAAAAAUCAACAGAACUCCAAAGACGUGGAAGAACAAACCCAAAGAAUCUAGGCAUGAAAAUGAAGCCUUUCGAUCAACGCACAAAAAUAAAUCCAACCUCACCUUCAAUUGUCUAGGUAAAUUUCCCUUCAGAAAAGCAGUGCUUUCAGUUGCGGUUGUUGAUUAAAGUGUAAUUGAGUGAACAUGAGAGGCAACGUUUGCAUCAUUGUUUGCACCAUUGACAUGAACACCAAUAUUACUCUAACAUGAGAAGCUAGUAGACAAACAUUGUGAAUCAUUGCCUAGAUUAAUAUACGAUCUGUGUUGGAUUACAAAUUCGGUUUCUUUGGUCUUUCCUUUUUUUUUUUUUGGUUUUUGUAUUCUUCUUCGUCUUUGGGGUUUUGGGCAAUUUUUUUCUCCUUUUUUAUCAAGAAAAUUGGAUUUUGUUUUCUAGAUUUUUGUGUGAUUUUUCCUUCUUCUUUUUUAAAUAUGAUUUGUUAUUAAAUUAGGUAAUGUCAUAUCAUUUGCCACAUCAAUUAGUUAUAUGUUGACAUCAUAUUUAGGAUUGAUCUAGACCAUUCAUUAUUUUAAAAUCUAAUGGUUAAAAAUUAGUGUUAAAUUUAAUGUCCCUUGAACCGGACCCAAUUUAUUAAUUUCUAGUGUUUUUAGUGACAGCUGCUUUUAAAAUAAACAUUCAUGUUGAUUCUAAAAACUAUUGUCAGUGACAUAUAAUUUUUUAAAAAAAAUGUUUUUCUUUCAUUUACCAAACACUAUAAAAUCUAAAAGUUCGUAUAAAAAAUGAUUUUUUUUAAAAACGAAGUUGUACCAAACUGGGCCUAAGAAUCUGAAUACUAGGGAUCUUCAUCCAGUUACCCGUUUAUCUCUCUUGUUAGGGUCGAAUACUCAUGGGUACCCUACCCGUUGGGAAUUAUUGCCAUCCCUAGAUCCACAACGUUUUUGCUUAGGGCUGAAUUACUUUUUCUAAACUGGUAGCACUUGUCAGUGAUUUUGAAAAUGAAGUUACAUGGAAAAGGUAAAAUAUUAGAAGCCAUAAAUAUACAAAAAAAAAAAAUACAAAAAAAAAAAUCCUAGGGCGUAUUCUUAUUAACCUCUUUGGAUAAUUUACCAAAACAAAAAAACCUCUCUUGACAAGCUCAGACUGUUUUGUCUUUCUCGUUUCUCCUCAUAUCAGCUAGCACUCUCCCACCCAAGACCAGCGACUUCAUACCAAGAGACAAAACUGGUUCCUUCCAAGAAUCAGGUAACCAUCGAAGUCCAAACAUGUCGGUUUUCUCCUUCAGUAAUUGGAACACUUUGCCCCUUGUGGUCUCUAGUUCCUCCUCAUAUUGGCGGAGCUCACCUUCCACCGAUGCCGAAAAUCUGUCCACCAAAGCAUUGAGAUGACGUUGCGGGUGUGUCAAGUGAUAUCUCAAAAUGUCGAGUUUCAUGUUCAAACUCAUUAUUCCUUUGAAGAAUCUUGAGUAGUGAUUGCUCAUCUCCAGCAAUGUCACCUCAUUCAAAUUCUCAGCUUGUAGUAAACUUAACGUGUUUGAAUUGUAGCGUUUGAUAUUCUCGAGUUGUGUGCUUGCCAAAUCCACCAGCUCAUAGAUAUUUAGAUCAUCCUCAUCAAAUAAUUUUUCUGUAGACUGGAGUGAAAAUUUGAAGUGUUGUGGACACUCUGUUUCUCUCCCAGGUAGUGUCCGCCACAAAUAACUGAAGUAGGUAACGCCUUCAGGCGUGAAUGGAUCAACUAGGUUGCUGGAAAAUUGAGCCCUUAGGGUCUCCACGGCCUUCAAUUUCUCUUGAUCAAUUUCAGCGUUGUUGUUGUCGAACACAACCUUAUGUGCAACUGGUCUCAGAUACUUUAGGGGCACUUCAAAAAGCUCAUAAUAUUGGUCAAGAUGGUAACUGGAAUGAGUUAAGUUGUAUUUCUUCUCCAUCUUUUAUCGACGUUACUUGAAUACAACUAUAGUUAAAGGAAAGAUACAGAGGAAAGCUAUUAUAUUUCAUUGAUAAUAGGGCCUUUAUAUAUAGAUGGAGGAAAACCAAAAUACAAAGAUUCCUAUCCCUUUAUGAUAUCAAAUUCCUAUCCCUUUAUGAUAUGGAAAACUAGCUAGAAUAUUUAUCGAAUCCUGGAUGAUUAAUCCACUAAGGAUACCGACUCAGAAUAUGAGAAGACUACUGUGUCAGCAUGGAAGAUUAAUAACAUGAUUUUAUUGAUCUACACUGUAAAUUGUCAUAACAUGGUCUUGCAAGCUCAUUGUUUCUGACUUCCUGCUAGACACCUAAACUUCUGCUAGACCAAAAUCCCCAAGUUUCAUUAGAUUCUGCAUCAAGCAGCAUGUUGCAAGAGUUAACAUCUCUCAAUAAUUUGCCUGCCAAGUUGAAGCUUCUGUCGACGACUUUAAUUACGCGUCCAUGGGUUCUGCGUCAAUCUAUUGAACAUAAUUAAUGUUGCCAUCAAAACCUCCUUAUCUAUUGAUCCCAAUUCUUCACCAUCUCCUUAUCGAUCAUGGUUGUUGUGCUUUUGAGAGCUGGUUAACCGGCGUCUCCGCCUUUUGGUAUUGUGCCUCUUGUUGCAAAAUUGAAUGGGAGUGAUGAGAGUUUAGAAAUUGGGAAGGAAGUGAGUUCUGAUAAGAAGGCUAAGGUAUAUAGUGGAGAUGUGAAAGAGCUUGGUGUUAGUGUUAACAAGAUGGUCUGCAAGGACCAAAUUCGGGUGAAAAUGGGAGAAAAUGCCAUGCACUCCACCUGCUUGAUGAAAUGCAGCAUUCAUAUGGGCUGUGUAAUGCAGGAAAGAAACAUUGUAUAACAAGCGAGCAAUCAUAGGCUGCAAUCUGUCUGUUGUAUCACAAGGCAGCAAAGCUGAAACCCCUUUUGUUUAGGAAAAUCAUAGUCUCAUCACAUAGUACUUUAUACCCUAUGGUGAGCUCUACCCAUCUACAUUACUCAAAUUUACUUAACUAGUGUCCCUUUCUUUGACAUUACCAUCUACCAGAUACAUGACAUCCAUAUGCAGACCUAGUCUAAUGUAAGUAUCUCAGGCAAUCCAGGCCUUUUAGGGGGUUGGCGGAUGGGUGAUUGGUUAAGAAUGGGCUGAAGUUCAAGAUCUUCUUGUGGUUGUGGUUGUGCUGCGUGAGCUUGUCUCUGAAAUGGGGCACUGAGGAAGCCAUAUACUGCUCUCGAAGCUCUUGUUGAUCCGCUUGCUGCUGCUCUGCCUGCUGAUCUGAUCGAAUCCAAUACUGACUGAGGGCCUCCGACGUAAGCAACCAAGGAAGUCAGAGCUGCAACAGCCGCUAAUACCAUAUAAGCCCCCCUCCUUUCAACCGCUUCGUUAGGCAACAAGUUGUGGGGCGUGGUUCUAGCCACACCAACCACUCCAAGGAUGCUGACAGCGCCUACGAGGACUCUGUUGAAAGCUCCGAUACUGCCUGCCAAGAUUCGACGACCUAGUCCCGCAUUCUCUGUCACCGGAACUGUUGACGCGCCCCCGAGCAUACCACAUAAGUUGCACAGGACGUAUACAACAAUAUAAUUCGUUACCCAUGGACACUUCUUUCGAAUGAGACAAGCAAUGACAAUCACCAGUAUCAGCACGGUUAACAGAGGUAAACCAUACUUGAUCAAGUCUUCUACAAUGGGAUACCAGUAUGGAGUGGGAGUGGAAUGCCAAUAUGGAGUGGGAGUGGGAUACCAAUAUGGAGUGGGAGUGGAAGUGGGCUUGGUUUUAGGCGGAAGUGAAAUUGGACUUGUACCUCUCGACGGAGAAGAUGGCGAGGUUCCGGUGUCCUGCACGUGAUGGCGAAGUUCCAUGUCCUUCACUAAGACGGUGGAGCUACGCGCAGCCGCCUCCGUUUUCUCCAGUUUCUGCGGCGUGGUUCUCGUCGCCGGAGGCAGUUGAGAUGACAGCGGAAGGGUGGCAGUGGCUGAAACGGCUGCGGAACUCCGAGGAAGCGAGAGCGGUCUCGCCGCGUUGACCAUCGCAGGAGCCGGAGAAGACGGCUCAAGAACACCUGAAACGGCGUCGUCUUCCUUUGUGAUGACCGCGGACCUCCGAGGAACCGAGAGCGAUCUCGCCGGGUUGAUCUUCGCAGGAGCCGGAGAAGACGGCUCAAGAACACCUGAAACGGCGUCGUCUUCCUUUGUGAUGACCGCGGACCUCCGAGGAACCGAGAGCGGUCUCGCCGCGUUGACCGUCGCAAGAGCCGGAGAAGACGGCUCAAGAACACCUGAAACGGCGUCGUCUUCUUUUGUGAUGAUCGCGGACCUCCGGGGAACCGAGAGCGGUCUCGCCGCGUUGAUCUUCUCCAAAGAAGAGGGCGCAUGCUCAGUUGAAACGACGUCGUCGUCGGAGAUGAAAAGAUGAGCAGAGAGCGGACUAGCGCCGUUACCGAAGAUGGUCGUCCCACCGGAGCCGAUCACCAUCUCCGGUUCUAAGUCUUCAACUCUCGCCGUCGGAAGCGACGGUUGGCCCGAGGCUUGCAGAACGACGUCAUCGGUCUGUUUCUUGACAGUCGUUGUGGAUGUGGAGGUGGUUGGGGGUGAACGAGAGGCAGAGUUGGCGGUGGUUGGCGGUGAACCGGAGUCGGAGUCGACGGCGGCGAAAGCGGUGGUGGUGAGGAGGAGAAAGAUAAUGCCCAAGAGAGAGGUUGGGGACGCCAUGGGAGAGUUAGUUAAGGUCUGGUAAAUUUCAGAGUGGAGUGAAGUGUAAAAGGCGAAGAAGAAAGAAGGUAAAGGGGGAUUAUAUACACGAAUCCCAGAGAGCGAGAAAUUCGCAGAAGCGUAACAGAAUCGACAGCUCAGCUCGGGUUUGUGCAUCAAAUUUUUGGCGGGAAUUCACACUUGUUUUGUGGGGCAGGGUCGGGACUGCAAUCGUAUACGUGUUGAAGUCUUAUUGGAGGAGGAUCAUAUAAUACAAGGUCGUUAUACGAUUACACGUGUGAAAUUCUUAUUAUUGGGGCUGAGGCUUUAACAAACUUUUCCUUUUCAAGAAUCUAGUACACAGAGAAGAACAACUUUUGGCUGGGAAUUCGGUUUGUUAUGUGUGCCUAAAAUUGUUAUAGGCUAUGUUUACAUAAUGUGUACAUUUCAAGUCACUUUUGCGCAUGGUGCAAUUUUUAUAGGCUAUGUUUAUUGUCUUAUUAACAAAAAGAUCUACUCCACUGUUCCGAGAGAAGUUUGGAGAUCAUUAAGUGGUUCAAGUUGAAUUGUGAUGGCCCGAUAACGUCUAAUUUUGCUGCCUUUUUUAUGUGAUAAGAUAUUCUUCUAGUUUCCGUAUUAUGGCUCGUGUGCCCCCGGCUCCAACAUCUCAACUGUUCUGGUGGCUGAAUGCAUUGUUUCAGAGAAGGUCUACUUACUCCCAAGAGGCUCAACUGUAAUCAAAUUGAGGUAGAUUGAGACUUUUUCACUGUUAUCAACUGUGUCAGUAACAAAAUUUUCAUAUCUUUAAUCGGUGAUGUUAAAGCUCUUGCCCAUACUUUUAACAUUGCUAGGAAACCAUGGAUUAUUGAAAACUAAAGAACAAAGCAGAAAAUGUAAAACACCGAAGAGAAUUUGGAGACUACAUCUUGUAUUGCUUGUUAAAUUGAACAGUGUACAUAUGAUAGCAUAUAUGCUUGGUAACAAGCAUAAUGGUUGCACCAAAUUACACUUUCAUCACAAUAUCAAUACACAAAUGUAGAACACUGACCAAGAUAACAACCUAAAAUCAAAACCCAAUAUUCUGAUAUCAACUUCUAACUUCCAUUGUGGCUUCGGCUGAAAGAGGAGAGACCUUGCUUGAAAACUGCAUAGUUCACAUGGGCAGUAGUGCAGCAAUAUGUAAUGCAUCCUCGGCAGCAUAGCAACAUAUGAUGGAUAACUGAAAAACUCUUCAUCUUGGACUAAAAUCUGAUAUAUAGAAAUACUGAAAAAUGCAUAUGACUGCCACAAAUUUUUUGAUACUCAUUUGCACACUACUAGCGCCAAGAAAACCACUUGUGCAAUCCACAAAGAAAUCUGCCUCAAUACCAAAUUAUCUCCUCUCCAGUUUGAAUUAGAAUAGUAACAUAACAUCCCCUCAUCAUUUGAGCUCUUUUAGCAGCAAUAUGACUAUAAAUCAGUAAACAUUGCAAACUCACAGCAAUGAAGGCAGCGUCUCCCAAAAUGAACACAUCUCACACACAAUCCAUGCAUUCAAACUCCCAUCCAUCCAUCAAGACAAUUCACCAGUCCAAAAAAAAAAGAUUAUAAAACUGCUUCGUCACUUUCUCUUUUGGUUGACGGCAGACACAAAUUUUUGAUAAAAAUAAAAAAGAAAAACUGAUGAUAUCGUCAUAACAGAUAACUAGAGAGAAUCCACAAAUUAAGAGUAGGGAUGCUCAAUCACACAGACAAAUACCAAAGUUGCUAAGGAAUUUGAUGCUAGUUGAGUGAGGAUUAUGAGAAAUUGAUAACCCAUAGCACAAAUCGAAAGCAUAACCAUGAAAUUACUAUCUAGAUAUCAGAUAUUGAAAGCCUCAAAAUUCCAUCAGAAACAGAAGCUCAGAAAAAUUUAACCAGAAUACCCAUCGCACAUUCGACGUCAAAUCACCAUCUACUGCCGCUAGUCCAAUCGAUGAGAAAAGGAGAAGAGAUACGCCAGCGACCAUAGCGUCCAAAGGAGACGACAAAGAUGACUGAACAAAGAGCAAAGUCGAGGCCCGGAAGCAAACUCAGAUGCAGACCCUAAGUCCCGAAUUCAAAUUUCCAAAUUCACUAUCAAAGGGCGACAAGAAGAGGAGAAAACGGUUGGGUAACGAUGAUGAAAUCUGAUUUGAGGAUUUAUCGGCUUUGAAUUGAUAGACUAGGCAUGAAACUUAGAGAUAUGAGGCUAGGGAUUUAGAAAAUUGGGGAAAACGAAAAUUGAAAGCGAAAGAAACUGAUAACAGCGGAAGCUAAAGAUAGACGAAAGCAUGAAGUCCACAGGAUCAAGAGCCGAGGCUCUGAUACCAUGCUAGGAAAACCAUGGAUUAUUGAAAACUAAAGAACAAAGCAGAAAAUGUAAAACACCGAAGAGAAUUUAGAGACUACAUCUUGUAUUGCUUGUUAAAUUGAACAGUGUACAUAUGCUAGCAUAUAUAGGAUAGGGUUAAUAGUAAAUGUCCCAACUACCCUUAUACACUUAGCAAACAUCUCAUAAAAUCUUCAAACACUUAAAUUGUCAUCUACACCGAUAAUGCGAGUGAUCAAGCACCUUGGUGAUCUCAAUCCUAAAUUGUUUUUAUUUUUAUUUAUUUUUAUACGUAUCAAUCCUAAAUUCUUUUAGUUGAUACUUUUUAAAAUAACCAAAGCGCCCUUGAUGUAGUUGUCCAUAACUUUGGGCCAGUGAUUGUCUUUCGGGCUGGUGGUCAAUAUAAAGGCCAGGGAUUAAAAGUAACAAAUACAAACCUAACGAUUGAGUAGCGCAUUGUUCCUCAGUCCAGCAACUAGAUCCAUUCUAAAAAAUAAGUCCAACAAUUAGAUCAAAUGCCAGAGCGCGCAGUUUUACAUUUUUUUCUUUGAGAAUGAGCGUAGUUUUACACUUGAAAUUGUGAAUACAGUAUAUUACUAUUUUAUUGUAUUGUGAAAACUGAUAAUUGGAAAAUAGGGAACUGAUUUGAAUUGGGAAAAAAAAAAAAAAUAGUGAACUGAUCAACAAGAAUCUCAAAACCACAGGCCCAUAUACACCAUAACCCAAUCCCUACGUACAACCUCUCAAUCUCCAAACCGCCCCAUAACUUCCCAAUUUCACAGAACUGCCCCCAAACUCUUCCAAACACGUCACGUUAAGCCCCCCAAAGAUCUCUCAGUUUCACCCUUUCCAAACUUAUCACGUACCAAAUAUUAUUCUCUGCAUGAACACUGACCUCCAUCUGUUAUACCUGGGACGAAUCUUACACACUGCUCAUACUGCUAGUCUGCUACCUUAAUUUAUUUCCAAAAAUGUUUCCAUAAGUGCUCAUAAUGAGUCCAAUGUACUCUCUUGUUAAUGAGAUAUAAUCUUGUUUAUGAAAUUUUAAUCAGCGGCUAAAUUUUAGAUUUAAAUUUGUUAAUCAUUUUUUACUUGACCACCAUCUAAAUUGAUGACACAUAUUUUUUUUAUCAAUAAUAAAGUAAAACAAUUUGAAAAGGAGUGCGGCUAUUGGGACCUCCAGAUUUGCUCAUUGUACCUCCCUAUCUCUUCACACCUCCUUUUUAUUUUUAAAAACAAGCAUUUGCUCAUUAGACCUCUUUUCAAAUUUCUAAAAUAACCUUAGGUUUGUUAUUCAUAUAUAUUUCAAUAAUUUACUCAUUAUACCUCUUAUUCGCUCUCUAGACCUCCCACACUUUAAUUUUUUUUUUUCUUUUUGCAUAAAAACAUUUAUUUCAGACCUCGAUUGCUUGUAUUUUCUUUUUCUUCUUCUCUUUUUUCAUGAAAACCUCUUUUGCAACCUCAAUUCCUUGUUGUUGUUUGUUUUUUAUUUUUUUAUUUUUAUUUUUAUAUUUGCAUAGAAUGUCAUUAACCUAUAUUAUUUGAUCAAAUUGUAAGAACAGACAACAAUUUAAAAAAAUUUAAAUCAUGAAUUGUUUUCACAAUCAAUUGCAAAGCAGUAAAGUGAUGUUUGUAACCGAACGUAUAGUAAGUUAGUAACUACAAAAGUAAAGAAAAUAUGUAUACAUGAAGCAAAUCUGUUGAAAUAUUAAAGCAAGCUAAAAGCCCAGAAACCUUUGACCUAGAAGAAAACCCUAAGAAUGUCAAUUGCGUCUUCAUCAAUUGAGAUUCUUCCAUUUGGUGUAGUAGUUCUUUGCGAUUGAGCAAUGGUUGCACUUGGAUUUAGGGUUUAUAGACUACUCACAUUUUGUAUCGUUAACUUGAAGGAAAAAAAAAAAAAAGGAAGAAUACUAAUCUGAUUACAAUUUUUUUUUUUGUGAAAUUCAAUGUCUAGUAUUGUCAUUUUGUAUGAGGUUAUAUUUGUAAUCCAAUAAGUCAAAACAUGUGGAGGUACACUGAGCAAAUCUAGAGGUCUCAAUAGCCGCACUCUUUGAAAAGACAUGAUGUAGAUAAUUGUCAUUUAGGUGGUCAAAAUAAAAGUGUUUGGUAAAUUUGAAUCCCUAAAUUCUUUUGCAUUUAGAUGAAUCCCACCUCACAUGACUAAAGAAAGAAUUCCUAACGGUAAGAUUAAGAAUGCCUGAUCUCCCCUGUCAUUUCAAUUUAUCCAAAUGUAGGUCCGUACUCUGAAUCUACUCCAACAUCAACAUAUGCAUGGUAAAUUUGACAAAUUAAGAAAAUAACCCCAGGCAUGUAAAUCUCUUACAUUAACUGGGCCCCAUUUCACGCAUAAUUGCAUAUGAAUUUUUGGUUGUAAUUUAAGAUUGAAAUUUAUUUAUUUAUUUAUUUUUUUUUUUGACAGGUAAAGCCAUACGGCAAAUUCAUUAAUACUCAAGCCAGNNNNNNNNNNNNNNNNNNNNAACAAUCGGGCAAGUUAAGGACUUGGCAUGCUAGCACCACUCAUUACAUAGAUUCCGUUCACUUAUUUCGAGCAGAAAAGCCAGAAAUACUAGAGAAAAAAACAAAAAAACUAGAGUCCACUAUGGAUAAAACCAUAGUAAUUAUUCAAGAUGAAAACUAGAAAAAACUAAAGAAUUACUGUUUCUCCUUACCCUUAUCAGAAGGGCUUGGAGACCUGGUGAAGGAGCCAAAGAUGUCUUCCACGGCCACAGGAGCGAUGUCUUUGAUCAUAGGUUUAGUGGAGUACAAGGGAGGGAUCUGAAGGAUGCGCACCCAAAAGUACAGCAACGUCAUCGGUAUCUCAUCAAAGGGUGCAAUCCCAUCAUAUUCCUGUAAAACAACCGGAGCAUGAUGAAAAUUCCAAGGUCCUCCCCAAAUAACCUUGUUCCGAUCCUUCUUGAGGUCAAAACUUAGGAGAAAGAGAUUUUCUUCACAUGAUUGAAUGGUGAAUUUUCCUUCAAGCACCCAGACAUCUCGAAAAAAGCUUUUCAGAGCCGAGAGCUUUGUAGGGUUUUUUGCCAAAGGGCGCGCCAGCAGGUAGGAUUGCGUGGCUCUAUGCUUGGCUCCAGAGCGAGAGAGAUCAAUAGUGUCGUUUCUAGCAAGGGCCAACGAUGCAGCAAACGAUUUUGUAACGUCUUCAAUCGACAUCUCGACGAAGUUUGGCAAGUAGGCGGCUGCGCGGCUUCCUUGGUUGACGGCAGAGAGAAAAACUCUUGCCUUAGGGUUUACAGAUUAAAUCUUAGGAACAUGAUGCAGGUUUAGGGGGGGAUUAAGAUUGAAAUUUAUGAAUCUCUCGUUUCAAUUUAUGUGAGUGUGUUUGGAUGAGGGAAAAAAUGAAGAAAUUAAAAGUAAGGAUUUCAUAAUUACUAAAUUUCGAUAGAAUUGGAAACGAAAAAAUUCGUUAUUCAAAUUCUUCAAUUGAAAUUUCACUAAAAUAGGUGUCAUUUGCAAAUUCCUUUGUAAAAUCAAUUUUUAUUUUCAAAACAUAAUUCUUUAGAACUUUAUUUUAAACUAAUAAUCAGUUAUCAUGUCCGUCAUAUUUCUUGAAUUACAUAUAGCUCAUAUGUUGUGAAAUUUAAGGACCGUCUCUCAAUCAUAAGAUGACCUAUAAUGACUUCCACAACAGUGAAAGAUCCAACACUUCUCUCCCAUUACAUUUUAAAAACAAGUGUGAUCUUAUUUGCAAACCAAAAUUCUAAAACAAUGUCGUAUGGCAUGUCUUGGCAGUGUCUAGGCAUUAGAGCAUGUUUAACAGACUCUAUUUUGGUUUUUAUCUAUUUUAGAGAAUGUGUUUAGUUUUUUUUUUUUUGUAUAUUUUAGGAGUUCCAGCAAAUUAACAAAAUCUUAGCUAUUAUCACUUUUAGCUAUCUCGCUAGCCAAAUAUAGAGAGCGAGAUGACUCAGAUGAAGCUAGCUAUAAUUUAAUGCAUUCGUUUUAAGAUAUUUUACAUAAUAUAUAAAUACACUUAAACUAUUUAAUCUUUAAUUGAAGAAUAAUAUUAAUGUAAUGCUAGCUAAAAUAGAGAGUAUUUGUGUAGACGUAUUUCUAAAGUGGUUAGCUAAAAUAAUAUUUUAGCUAAUUCGAUUAAAAUUUAACUCAAAAAUAACUUGUUAGCAGCAUUUAACAAGUUUUCAAAUCUUGGCUCAAACACGCUUGCUUUACGAAGAACGUCGUUUACCUUAUUUCAGUGUUAAGAGGGUCUUUAAUCAUUGGAUCACUGGGUACAAAUUAUCAAUGAUUAAAGAUCACUAGGUCUAAGAGCAUCUCCAGCAGUAUUGCUAAAUCAAUUUUUUUUUGAAAUUUGCCAACUUUUGGGACGAAUAAGGGCUCCAGCAGAAUGCCUAAAAAAUUGAUAAAUCCUAACAUUGCUAAACUAAAUUGACAAAUUUAUCAAUCUAGACAUAAAUUGCUAAAGAGAAACAUAUGUUUUCCCUCCAUUUUUUAUCCACGUGUAAGUUUAUGAUUCGUUAAAAUAAUUAUUUAACUUACACUUAACAAUUACUGCUGGAGCACAAUUACUAUUUCAAUUAUUAAAUAUCUUAACUAUUGUUAAAUUUAACAACAAAAUUUAGGUUCGUUGACGAAAUAACUUAAAAACAAAAUAAGCGAAAUUAAAAGGAUAAGAGGAAAUUACAAAAGUUGCCGUAAUACAGCUAAACACAAGUCUCGCUCACUCUCUCUCUCAAGGGGAAAGUUCGCUGUGAGUGAGAAGCAAUCGAAAACAGCUGUCAAAACCGGAGAUCGAAUUUGCACAACUCCGGCGAUUGGAACCCUGGUAGUUAUCAAAACCGCCGUAGUAGACUACACCGAGCACCAGCCAUGGAUUUCCCGGAGCUUUGGGCAAUCUUCGGGCCAGGCGUCGCCGGCGCUGUGUUCGGCGCCGGAUGGUGGUUCUGGGUCGACGCCGUGGUUUGCAGCUCCGUCACCGUCUCGUUCCUUCACUACCUUCCAGGUCCGACCCGACUCGACUCCGCCCCCCCGUUAAUUGUGAAUUUUAGGUCUUUCAGGGUUUUUGAUUUUGGGAUUGGUGAUUUUUUUGCAGGGAUUUUUGCUUCUUUGGCGGCUUUGAUGUUCAAUUGUGUUAAGAAGGACGACAUUGACUACUCUCCUUAUGAAGAGGGCGAGUGGAGGUGAGUAAUUUGAUCCCUAGCUCAAAAUUUAUGAUCAAGAUUUCAGUUUUAAUUUGAUUCAGUAUUGGAAGUCUUAAUUUUGGUACUGUUCUUAGGGCUAGUUGAAGCCAUUAACUAAUAAUAUGAACAUUUAGAUUAUUGUAUACUGCAGCAAUUGGAUAGUAGUGUAAAACUGAACAUUCUCUAAAGAUUGUCUUUGAGAUUACUUAGAUGCAUCUACAUGAGGAUUGAGGGGUUUAUUAAAUCGUUGCGUUUGCUAUUUGCUUGUUUCUGAAGUUUUGUUCUGAACUUUCUUUAAAUUGCAACAGGUUGAAGCUUUGGCUGUUCAUUGCUUAUGUUGUGUCCUUUGUAUCAUUGGCGGCAUCAGUGGGUUUGCUAAUACAAGAUUCACUUGUGACAACCGGCCCUUCGGUUUGGACAGGAACUGCUGGUGUAUUGCAAGCCGUUUUCGUGUUGGUCAGGUAAAAUUGUCUUUCUGAGCCCCCGUCUGUCUGUUAUAACUAUAAACAAAGACACUCCUUACUGAAAAGCAUAUACUGUUGUUUAUGGUUACUCUUGUAAAUUAACGGCAUAUCAGUAACAUGCAUUAUUUAUGUUAUAAGCUUAUAAAGUAAUGCUUGCUGCUGGUUGUCUUCUGUGAACAAUGGCAUCCCUCUAAUUGAAGCACACUCUAAUAUGUUCAUGAAUGUGCACAAGUAUAUGCAAGCACAUGUUAAAUGCUUUUAGAUGAUUAAAAUGUAGUUCAUGCAACUUUUACAGUUACCAUCUGGUUUACCCGUGGUCUUUUAUUUCCUGCAGUGGGCUUAUAUAUUGGACUUCUCACCCGGAGUAAGUAGGGACCGUGAUAAGUAGUUAUUCAUGGGAAUCUGAAUUUCACAAGGGAGGGAAUAGAAUGACUUAAUGUAUCAUUUUACUCCUUCAAUCAAUUGGACCAAGAACAAAUGUAUCGUAAAUAGGGUUCAAUUUCAAAUUCAAUAGCUGAUACGAAAUGUAUUUUUCAGUGAUUGUAAAUUUAUAUUGUGCUAUCUUCCUAAAUUUGUGAAACUGAGUCGAUACUUUUCAAAAAUGCAAGUUUGUUUAUGUUUAAUCCAUUGAAUGACUGUUUUGCUGCUUAAGUUUGAUAUCUAAGGUUGCCCUUUCAAGGCAGCCUACUUGCUUCACAAGGGGUUCAGAUGCUAAUUGCGAAGUACAACAUCAGUUCAAGUCCUGCUUGGGUCUUAUGUUGUGCUACCUAUCUUUCUAAAUUGGUGAAACUGAGGCAAUGCUUUUACUAAUGUCAGUUUGUAUACGUUUAAUCCAUUGAAUGACUGUUUUGCUGCCUAAGUUUGACACCGUAGGCCGCCCUUUCAAGGGGGCCAUUUACUUCAUAAGCGGUUUAAAUGCUAUUUGCCACGGACGGCAUCGGUUCAAGUCCUACUUAGGUCUUUAAUUAUCACUUUCUUUUUUCUUCUUUUUUCAUAUUCAUCUUGCGCUUAAGCAAAGUAGCUAGAUGACACACGGACAACUAUCAGAUGGAACUAUAACAUCUUUAAAUUUGAUUACAAGGAUAUUCGGCCAACCACAAGUAGAACGACUGGCAACUUAAACAAGGCUCUCAUCUAGAAUCUCUUCCACAACAUUUGGCAUUACUUCUGGUGAUACACGCCCCUUUAAUAGUUGUGUGUGUGUGUUUUCAAGGUAAAUUUUUAAGCGUAACUGCUGUACAAGAGAGGAGAAACAUUUGUUUUCUCGCAGCAAUGUAGUUCCCACAUUUAAAUCCCAUGUGCUGUUUUCAGUUGGAUUAUGAAAUAUGGAAUGGUAGCUUAACUCCUUGAGUUGGUUAAAUAUGGUCGACAUAAAUAGGUUUAACUUGCUGUAGCUUUCAUAUAUUGUUCCCAAUGAAACUGAUGCCCAAAACAUAAACGAGUCUAAAUCAUUUCACAUGUGCAUCGGGCAUACAAUUAUGAAUGAAAGACAAGUAAAAGAAUAAUUAAUCUAACAAAACAGAAAUGAAAUGACCGCAAAAUUUCAUGCGCACCAAGGUAAAAAUAAACCCCUAUUGAUUUCUUCUUUUCCGUAAAAUGGACCAAAAACAUAAGCCUUUUCUUGUAGAAUUAAACCCCCUAAAAGAAAGAGGAAGGAACAAGGACCAAAGUACACCAAUGUAUCAAUUUUCUCAUCAUCAUCUUCCACUGCAGACAAAAUAGCCCCUAUCCUACUCUCUCCCAUAAAAACUUAAAACCUAAACAAAAACCAUUUUAGGCAGGCAGGAUUGGGGCACCUGUGACUUAUUGCACUAUUUGCAGAAUGCAUAGUUCUUCUCCAGACCCAUUCUCUUGUUUCUUACCAAACCCAUCAGCUUCUUUUUCUUUUUUUCCAAAACAAAGAGAUAAGAGACUAACCAUCUGCCAAAAAAUUAAAAAUUCUUGGAUCUAUGUGUGAGAAAAAGUAUAUCAAGCUUCAGACCCAGAGUCAGAUGAGCUCAGUCCAGUAGUUGCCCCACCAAAAUUAGUUGCGUGAGAUUCAGGCAGUGUUGAAAGCUUUGGCUGCAUGCCUCGAUUCAGUUUCAGAGAUGGUCUCAAUUUCAUAUACUGCAUAGAAAGACACAAAGUUAGAGAUAAUGUUCAGUUGUAGAACCAACCUAUUCAGCGUGCACAAAGUGACAUUUACAGUAAUAUACUACAUAUUGCACCAUUUAGUAUGUCAACAAUUCAAUUCAGAUCGAGUUCACAAAAAGUGAACAGACAUGACAAUUAAAUUUCUUACCUGGUCAUAGAAGGCAUUGAUCUCUUCUUCCGUUAGACCGCCAUCAUCACCAGAAUUUUCCUCCCAUCCAAGAGAACGAAGGAAACGAGCUUCUUCCUCAUCCGGAUAAACUGCUGCACUUGGGCCAGUACCAGAAAAUCUCUGAACCUCUUCAGAGCUAACACCAUUGCCAGUUACCUCACCACCAUUUUCAAUGUGAGGGCUCGCAGGAUCACUGAACACUUCCCCAGUUAUGUCACCAGAUUUCUCUAUAGUGGGAGGUGAAAUAUUAGGGCCUGAAUCUGGGAGAGUAAUUGAACUGUUCACUGAGGUUUUCUUCUUUAGGAGAUUAAAGAAAUCAUUCCGGCUCUGGACUUGAGACAAAGAAGGUCUCUUCUCCAAAGUGGCUCCAGAUUUCAGAUCCAAGGCAGCCACCUUUCUUUCCACCGCCAAAAGCUUUGGAUUGUUAGGGCUCCUUGAAGGAGCGGACACAACUGGAGGAGCAACAGCAAGUGGGCUAUUUGCUGCUCUGCUGCUGGCAUUACUUGUCGGGCUAGUGACAUCCUUCGGAGAAGAGAUCCCAUUUUCCCAUACUGGUUUAAGAACAAGGAACCCCUUCCCAUGAGAUGUCUUUGGAGCAUCAGACUUGACAGGCCCCCCAUGAAGAGAUUGAUUGGCAUGGUGCGAUUGAGAGGGCUGCUGCUGCCCACCCUUCACAGGUGCAAUCAUCUCACCAGCUCUGACUGCUGGUUUGGGCUUUAAUUUGUCAGAAGAACUAAGAGCCUGAAAGAUAAUACAAAACUAUUAAGAAAUUUAAAAGAUAACAGCAUGCAAAAAAUAAUAAACAAGCAAAAAGUGGGAUGUUAGUGAGCAUAUAUACAUUUCUCAACGGUUCAUUGUUUUGGAACAUAAAAGCUUAAUAAGAAAAUUUAAAAGAGCAUGUGAUAGAAUACAAAUGUCAUCUUGGCAAUCCUCUGCUGAAAGAAAUCAAAAGUUUAUUUUCAUCUCACUUAUCCUAAACGAAUAGUAUAUCGUUCAAGCACCUUCUCUUAAUAUAUAUUUUCACUUCUCCAACCCACUUCUAUUUAUCAACAAACACAUAUUGUCCUUAUCGAUCAACAAUAUGGUAAACCAAGCAGCUUCAACCCCCUUCCCCUUCCAAGAAAGAGAAGACUAUAAAGCAAGUGAUAUCUAUGUAGUAAGCCCAUCCCAUCUUAUAUCGAACCUCUUCAACACUAAGUGAGGCAUCUAUGUGUUCCUUCUGCAAAAAUAGACUGAACUUAAUACUCAUUGUUGGGAAAACUGCCCGCAUAGAGCACUACAUCUUAACUGCACACCACCAAAUUGCGCUUUUUGUGUGUGUGUGUGUGUGUGGUGGGGUGGGGGGGGGUGGGGGGGGGGGGGUNNNNNNNNNNNNNNNNNNNNNGNGGGCGGGGGGGGGGUGGGGAACGAUAUGUUUCAAGCUACGAUGUCCGAGAGAAGAAAUAAACAUGCAACUAGUCUCUCAAUGUAAUGUCUUUGUAUUGCUAACUCAUUCCUAGACAAACAAACAUAACAUCAAGUGCCAAAGAGCCUGUAUCACCCUUCCAUGAUUUAUAUAGGGGGAUGUGAGGAAAACAUAGUAAAUGGAUCCAUCCCAACUACAACUAAAAACAAGAGUUUUUAUUUAUUUUUCUUUUAAAGGAAUCAAAUACAAGAUAUUAGAAGAGAAACGUUUAACACCCGUCAAACAACCUCAUGCAGAUAGUCCACUUACUGAAGAUUUUGGCAUUGAAGGUGUCACUGGUAUUAAUUGCCUCGACUGCUUGAGAGCCAAUUCCUCAAGCCUUUGUGUCCUGAUAGAUAACUGCAAAAGAAAAUGCUUUGUUAGAUAAACAAAUAGCACAUUAAUUGAAUGGUUUAAAUAGCACAAAACAAACAAACCUCUCGGUUACCUGAGGAACAGUGCGAGCUCUUGCUGGAGCUUGCACUAAUGCUUCAGCCAUAUUAAGACCAGCCAUUGCAACGGAAGCCCCAGACUCAGAAGUAGCAGCAACAGUGGGUUGAACCGAAAAUGAUCCUGAGCUACUGCUGCCAAUUAUAGCAUUAGGCACCUCUGCCAAAGCUGAUUUAAAUUGCUCUCCCCCAAUCAAAGCUGAAUUGCCAACAGGCAGGCUCUGAACAGCUGAGGUAAACCCCGGAGAUGGGACUCUUCCGAUAUCAGGCACGCCUUGCCUUUCUUCAGUUCCAAGUGAGGGAAAAUCCUUAUCAAAUACAGCAUUCGGACUACCAACUCCACCCCCAGAAAGCAGACCAUUUCCAUUGUUAUGAAUGCUGUUGCUACCACUUUUUGAGUCAAUAGCAAUUCUUCGGGACAAAGUUUCACUUUUAUUCCUGGAACUCAUAGACUGGGAACGUCGCAAAGCAUCCUUAUUGCUAUACAAGCUCAGAUGGUCAGGACAGUCACGGUCCCAAGGCUCUCCAAAAUUUAAUCUUUCUUUUUCCUUUUCACGGUCCUUAUCACGGUGGCUUCUGCUAAAACUACUGUAGGCAUGCUUUGCAGAACCAUUGCUAGAACUCCUCCGGGGAUUAGAGGAGGAGGAGCGUUCCAAAUAAGAAGAGCGAGUGGGGUCAAUGUCACUUGUGGUCUUUGUAGUUCUACUUCUUGAGUGAUGAGCCGGCUGAACAUCUACAUAAGUAUUACAGAACAGUCAAGAAACUUUGUGUUAUACUAACAGAUACAGAACUACCAUAAAUUCAACAGGUCCAUUGUGACAGAUGUCUCCACAAUCCAUAAAUGAGUGUCUGUGUAACAUAAUUGCAUGCAAACAAAGUAUUAGGAACACAAAACAUCAACAAAACGUACCUGAAGAUGAUGCAAAAUGGUGGUGGGUUGAACUGCCACCCCCAGUAACACCGCCUGUAUUUCUCAGCCAUUGUGGAGCUAAUGGGCCUAAUGGGGGUUCACUUUUUUCCAUAAGGAGCACUGAACAUCAUCAGCUAUAACAACAGAAACACUUCUCACCUUCUUCCCCACCUCCGCCGUUUUCCCCCAAAUUUAAUAAACUUCAACAAAGAGAGUGAAGUUCCAACCACAACAAAUUUCUCUUCUUCACAAUCAACUGCCUUCAGCAAGUCAGUCCCACUACAAAUGGAUGGGUUAUCCUAAGUCACAACAAAAAUUUCCUCCACGAAACUUAUGAAAAAAGUAUCCACACAGUUGCUUCGACAGGGUAUAUUUGCUCCUCUACAAUUCUAAAAACCUGGACAAGCCUUAUUACUGCCAAUAACUAUAUCUACCAACACCGCGGCUUAUGCACCAAUUAGAAACCAAGUUUCCACCCACUUACAAACCCGGGGCGGGCAAUGCGAUCACUUCUCUUAUUAAAAAAAAAAGUGACACACAGAAUAACCUGUCUACUCCUCCAUCUUCGAAUAAAAGAUGGAUUUGCAGGAGAAAAAACCGCACCACACUCACUCAGAGGACCCUCAUCUCCAACCCCGAAACAACACGAAGAAGCAAUAGCUCUGUAACUAUGGCAACAACAUCCAAAACCACCCCAAUCAACCAACCAAUCAACAACGCAAAUAUAAAUAAAAACAAAAAUAAAACCCUAGGCGACGGCGAAAUCAGAGACUGAAUGCGGCGAAAAUAGAAACCCUAGAAUCCUCCUCUUCUUCUUCUUCUUCUCUAUUUCUGUGUGUAACUCUCACAAAAUAGACCUAGGGGGAUUUGCAGACCCCGAAAUUAAAACAACGGAGAUGGAAAAAGAGGAGAGGACUAACCCUAGGGCGCAGUGAUUGCGAUUAAGCCAAAACGGUAACCGUUUUGAUAACCGCCUCUGACCUCAGUGUGUGUAUUGAAAACCAAUGGCGUUUUCGGAGGCGGAGAGCGAGAGAGAGAGAGUUUCAGAGUCACCGAAGCGACGAGGCGGCAGAGAGAGAGAGAGAAAGGCAACAAGGAUUGGAAUGAGGGACGAGGAGUCUGAUGGAGUCUGGAAAUUAAUAGGGUUUUGUUUUCGGUUUUGCGAGAGAGAGAUAGAAUUGGGUUUCGGGUGAGAGAGAGAGAGGCAGAGAGGGUGUGUUUGUUAGUUUUAGACACUGCGGAACGAAACGUAUGAAGAACAGCCUCUUCUCCUUUAGGUAUCAAAAUUUUAAUUUCUUUUUUUCUUUUUAAUUUUAUCUAAAUUAUGUUUAUCAAUUUUCGUUUUAGCUAUUACACACCUAGGACCAACCCACCUAAAUUACUUAAUGAAACACGAAAAUGGCCAUAUGGGUUUUUAUUUUGAUUUAUAGUUAUUCGAGUCCGGGAGUGAUUAAUGUGGAAACUAACUAUUAAGUAUUUACCUAUUGUGCUCAUAUCGUAGAUGGAUUUAAAAGUCUAUGAAGAUCUUUAUUCGGGAUUUAUAGAGAAGGGGGACUAAUUGUGAUUUUCUGAUCAACCCUUUCCAUUAGGGAGUGAGAUUAUUAUCUUUAAAUUUUUCAUGACUAGGAAAUGAGAGAUAAGAUAAAUUGUUAGAGAUGUUAAUUAAAAAGUGAGACAUUGCAAAAUGGUGUUAUGUGAUAUGAUCAACGGUGUUGAUUUUAGUUGGUGACAUAACGUCUCCCCCUAUCAUGGGUGUAUAGUAUUUAUAUACAAACAUAUGUUAUCAUGUGUGUAUGUUAUUGUCUUCUUUUUCUAUUUUUAGCUUUGUAUGUUUUAUAUUGUCAAAAUGAAUGUCAAACCUGAUUUGAUAAUAUUUCAACACUACACAAAGGAAAUAAUAGAAAUAAAAUUAGGGGAAUGGACUAAUGGAUCACUAAAAAUAUUUUUUGAUGUAAGUGGUAUAAUAUCUUUUUUAGUAAGUAGAAGAUUGUGAGUUUGACCAUUGAUAGACUAAUUUUAGUAUUUAAGUUUUUUAUCUAAAUAAUAAUUUUUAGAUGUCAAGGAAGCAUGACCACCUAAGCAUGUGUCAUUAAUGUGAACAAAAACAAGUCUUACCAGUGAAGGAAGGUUUUUUUUGGUAAUAACCAGUGAAGAAAGGUUAGCUAUAUGUAGAGAAGUACGAAGAGCGUAACAAAACACAACUUUACUCACCAAUGCCUCAACAUACUAUGGCAAACUAACAUUUGAGACUGUAGCAUAGAUACCUCUAACAUAAGCAGUCAGCUUCCUUAUCUCACACAAUAUUACCAAUAGUUUCAUUUUGGGUAGCUUGAUCAAAAGCGAUAUCAAGUUAUCAACAUAUUAACGUUUAUCCAACAUACAUUUGAAACGUUCAACUUCAAUUUUAUGUUACUCUAUUGUAGAAUUUAUGUUUCUUUGUACUUCGAUAUAUUUUUUCCUUAUAACAUUUUUGUAAUUGUUUUCUCGUCGCUAUUAUUGUUACUUAGGGCUUGACAAUAACUUCAUUCACCUAACUACCUUAGGAGUAUUGGUUGAUGAAUGAAUUGAAUUGCAUCGCCACAAUGUCAUACACUCUCAUGACAUGUUUAUUUUGAAUGGAAAAGUGUCAUGAAUAGGGGCCAAUAACAUGAAUGGAAGAAAUCAUGAAUGAACAACAAGUAGAAUGGAGACCGAAAUAAUCGGGAUGGAACAAUAUACCCCUUUGGGUAUCAAGUUAACGUUUAUUUAAUUAGCACAGAUUUAGUAAACACAAUAUCGUGGUGGAACAAUAUCACCCUUGGGUAUCAAGUAUGGACAAGAUGGAUACGACUAUCAUAGUAGCAAAGACACUGAUAAACGGCGCUGUCAAGAUUGAUGCAAAGUUGGCGAUGACAAAGAUUUCGGAGGCCAAGAUUGAAUAGAUAGAUUGGGCUUGUGUAAUGGUCAACAAGUGGAUGUGUAAUGGUCACUUGGCAUAAUUAUCUUGUAUCCUUAUUGAAAGGAAAAGUUAUCAUUUGAUGAAAAAAAGAAAAGAAAAAGGGCCGAGUCUUGUAGCGAAGACUUAUAACCAAGCAGGGGGCUGGCAUUAAAGUGAUCAGAGAAUAAGUGAGUAUCUGCUCAAUGAGGUGUGGGGUUAUCUUGGUUUGUUCACUUUGGUGAAGUCGCACUAAGCACGCCCCAGAUCCCUCGGGUUAGAAGGCCUCCACUCGAAAAAAAUGGGUAGCAAACCAAAAAAAAAAAGAAAAAAAAGGAAUCCAUUCUUAAUUGUGUUAGUCAAAGUGAAACACAAAACUGAGAGAAAAAAAAAGAGGGAGUGCAUGAUUCAUAAAUGUGAAGAUGAGUUGCCAUAUGUCCUAACUCAAACUAUGAUCUACAAUAGAAUUAACUCAAUUAAGGGGUAAAAUUUAACUAAAGAGGUAACUAGAUUUAGGACGUAUCACGUGACUUUUCAUAUUUUACUUACGAUCUACCUUAAAUGACUCACACGUAUUGUGUUUCGUAACUUAACUAACAAUGAGUGUGCAUCAUACAUAAUGUAAAGACGAGUUGCUACAUGUCCUGAUGCACACUAUGACCUACUAUAGAAUUAACUUCCCUAAUGAUAAGUGUGACGAAAACAAAUGUGGGUACACUAAUGUUAACAUGUUACAACAAGUAGAACAUAUAGCAAUUGCUCCAGAAACCCAAAAGAGAUGUCAAUCAGGAAGAUCCGGCUCCUUCCUCGAAGCUCUAGCUUAAAGGGCAAGGAGGUUCUUUGAAAUCUUUUUUUUUCUAUUUCUCUUUUUGCAUUUUCAGUUGUUUUUGUUUAUUUUGGAACAAUUGUUUUUGGUCCAUGCUUUUCACAUGGGGGAGCUUUUAUUUUCUUGUUUUUAGUUUGUUAGAAACAAUUGCCUAUGAUCUAUUUGCUGAUUAUAGGCUCCUUAUGAGCCGAAAUUUGUAACGAAGAUGCAACCCUCAUACGAAUCAGAUGAUCUUGCUUGUCCCCUGUACGCAUGGUAAUAGAUCGAUUCAUAUUAUACUCUUUACUUUAGUAUUAAUGACAAAAUUGUCUUUGAGUUCAAAAAUGUCAAAGUCAUGUAUCAAAUUCUUUUAUAUAAACAAAAGGUAGGCUUUAUUAUUAUUAUAUUUUUUUUAGAGCAAUGUAGUGCACUGUGAAAAUAUCACACCUUCUUUUUCUUUUUCUUCUUUGGGAAAGGAUAUCACACCUUUUUUUUGUGUGUUUAAAUUAGGGUGUUUGACAUUUAUAUGAAGACCGAUGCAGCCACAGAAAAGUCCACCUCAAGGUAAGAAUUGUAAGAAGCAACCAUCACUAGUCAAUAGAAUCGGGUUGUCGAAAAACUGACCCUGAUAUUUUGCGAAUUUCGACCUUUCCUGGAAAUUGAUUAAAAAAACAGCUAAGCAUUUUGAAACUCUUUUAUCUACACGAUUCCUACAAUGGUCCAUGUCACUUGUAUUUGUACAUAUUUUUGUCUCAUGUGUUGGAUUUUUGCGAUAUCCCAAACUAUCAUUCUCCAAAAUAAAAAACAAACAAAAGAAAACCUUGGUGUUACUCUUUUGAUUAGUCUGUUUUACAUACGAAAUAUAGUCGCCUUCCUUAUCUUCUAGCUUUAGGCCUUUAGCUAGCUGCCUGCAGCACCAUUAAUAUAUUUGAAAGAAGAUGGAUGCUCUUGAAGUUUAGGUUCACCUAAAUGUAAUUAUGGUUAUAAACUUUAAUUAGUAGCCUAAAUGUAAUUAUGAUCAUAAACUCUAGUGGUGAUUGAUUAAUAAAUACAAUCAUCCACUUUACAUUUGCAUAUAGUUCAAGUUAAUAAUUAAAACUGUUUCACCAAAAUAAGUUAAUUAAAUAUUUUUGAUUAUAUAAUUCCUUUUUCAAUUUUUUUUAUCAUACAAACUUCUUUUGAAGAAACCAUACAAACUUUUAAGAGUGACAAAAUUUUCACCAAAAUUUGACAACUUGAAUAGCACCUAUGAUCUUAAGUCAAGCUAGAGAGGUCGGAGAUCUAUUUCAAAUAACUCCUGUCUGUAACAAUAAAGAAUGUCACAACAACGUAGCCCUUUCAAAUAUUGGUUAGGUCUUUCGAUCGGUAUUAGUUUAUCAAGAGUUAUAUGUAAGUCUCACAUAUGAAUGAUUAAGAUUGUACUGUAUAGCUUACACACUGUAUAUACAAAGAUAAUGCACUCAUGGACUCUCUCAUACAAUCUCAUAAGUCAUAACCUCAUAGUCAUUGAUUACCAGUAAUAAACAUACAAGGACUUAUGCACUUAUGGACCGGAGCAGAUUCUACGCAUUAAGGUGCACUUGUACCAUUAAUAUAUAAGUCCUCAAAUCGUCAUGUGCAAAUAUCGAAUGAAGACUAGUCACCUAAAUUCUUUAAUUUCAUUUUCAUUUUUGAUCCGACCAAAUUAAGCGCUUAUAAUAAAAGUAUCUUUUAUUCGACAUCAGGUCAUCACCUCUUGUGUUAUAAACACUCAGAACUAUUUUUUUAGGUUUCAAUUUUGUUAACGGUAUUAAAAUACAUGCAUGAUAAUACGACGUGCAUGACCAAAUUAAAAUAUUACAUAUUAGUUACUCGGUCCACUUAGACUUUGAUGCGUAGAGAAUUUUCGCUCAUUGACUUUCCAACAAUCUUAUAACCUCAUAAUUACUGAUUACCAGUAAUAAAUAUACAACGGUGGAUUAAUGCAUCUGUACGUAGGACGUACGCUCAAGAAUUUACACUCAUCCUCAGACAAACACGAAAGGCUGAACAGAGAGCUGUCUUUCCCAGGUAGGGCCCCACCACCCCCAAACUGUCCACGUGGCACCGCGUUUUCCUUUUCUGUUCUUCCCCUCCGACGGCGUUUACCAGCCCCCAAAAAAGUCCCCUACACUCUUUCCCCUCGGUCCUCGUCUCUUCUCUUCCUCCCAAAAACCUUCCGAUUUUCCCGGCCAAAAAAUCGCGAGCAGCAGCUCCGUCGCGACUGAACCACACGCGCAGCCGGGGUAGACCCUUUAGAUGGGUUUAUCUCCCUAUGCAUCAUUUACCGCGUUUCUUCUCUAGCAGCAGCAGCGGCAGCGGCAGCAGCAAGGGAGCUAAAGCUAGAGCUAAAGCUGAAGCUAAAGCAAGAGCUAAAGCUGAAGCCAAAGCCAUGGAUCCGAAGCGGCGGCCCAAAUUGGAGCGGCGCAAUGCGGUGAAGCACAUUGACUACGACGCCUCUACUUCCUCCCCACACUCGCCGCGCCACACGCGCUCGCUCGACUUGACCGACCGGACCAGCUUCCGGGUCGAAGGAAACGGCGAGUUCGAGCGGAUUUGCGCCAAGCUAGGGUUUUCCCCGGACGAGUUCGAGAUACCCGAGGCGGCCUGGGAGGCCCGGAAGAUCCGCUCCACCAACUCGGAUGUUCUCCCCAUGGCGAAAUUCUACGGGAUGGAUAGUCCGAGACCCGACCCGGGUGACGAAUCGGAUGACGAUAGGGUGGAGGAGCUGUGCGAUAGAGUCAGGGAUAGCGUUAGUGUUACGGUUGCCGACUCGACUCGGUCCGAAUUGGCCGGGCCGAGCGGGUGUUGUAGUUCGAGUAGUAGUAGUUGUAGUGUUAGCGUCGGAAUUAAGGGAGUGCGGCCGCCGGGGCUGAAGCCGCCGCCGUCGAUGGCUAGGGUUCCGGUGAUCGACGAUGGAUGCUCCACCUGGGAUCUUUUGAGGGACUUCGCGCCGGAAGAGGAUAGAGAGGCGUCGGACAUGGUGCAGAGAAGGUUUCGUCCUCCUUCUUCUUCUUCUUCCGAUGAAGAAGAAGAGGAGGAAGAAGAAGAAGAGGAGAAUAAUGUGGCGGUUGAGAUUAGAGAGACGGUGGUGAACUCCGGCGGGUGUUCGUUUACUACUUCCAAUGACGAUGAUUCUUCCAGUAGUACCACAGACCCUUCAUACAUUUCCCCAAAUGGAAGGAUUUCGCCGAAUGGGAGGCCUAAGCUUGUUAUCACUUCUUGGGAGAAGGGUGAUCUUCUCGGCAGCGGCUCUUUCGGGUCUGUGUAUGAAGGAAUUUCUGAGUAAGUGCUGCUAAAAACUCAUUCUAGCUGCUUAAUUUAUGAAUGCUCGAUCUUGCAUAUGUCUUAAUUCUCAUUAUGUUGCAUUGCUUGAAGUCGGAGUCAUUCAAUCUUGUAUUCAUAUUGUUUUGCUAGUUCACGGAUAUCUCUACAUUUAGGAAUAUGUGGAUUGACUGUUAAACCACUACUGGGAAGGGUUGAAACUUCAAUCUGUGUUGGAAAAAAGAUGGAGCAAUUCGUUUGUAUUCGAUUCCACUUUGUUCAUUAAGGGGGAAAAGAUAGGUUAAAGUGAUAACCAGUAUGUUAGGAUGAUUGUUGAAAAAAUGAACCGUUGUAGUUUCAAAAUUUAAGUUGUGUAUUGUUUGAAAAGGAAAAGACCAGCUCUGGUUGGAGAAGAGGAAAUUAGAACCUUCAUACUCGAGCUAGGCUUGUUAUGGGAUUAUUGAGUCUUUACGGUAUCUCUUAUCUUUAAAUAUGGGAGAAGGAUUAGAUGAAAUCCUUGUUUCCUUAUGAAGAAUUUAUAACUGUAUUACAAAAUGAAUUUUUCUUUGUUUCUGAUGCCCUAAUAUACUGACAAGAUGUUCUCAUAUGAAUGUCUAUUAAAAGAGUGGUUCCAUGUUUGUAUCUUUUCUUUAUCUGUGAUAUCCAAUCUUUAUUGAAUAUGAUUUUGCUAUCUUUCAGUGGCGGAUGCUUCAUUGCUGUCAAGGAAGUUUCCUUGCUUGAUCAAGGAACCCUGGGGAGGCAAAGAGUUUCUCAACUUGAACAGGUAACAAUGGCUUGGAUUUCAUUUUAUGUCCUGAAAUAGUAUGUCUCUUAUAUCAAGUAAUUGAUACAGUAAUUGUAUACCAGUAGGGUCUAUCUUGAUUUUUGUAUCUUGCUGAGAUACUCUCUUCUCAUUGUCUGUUUUUGUUUUUCUUCCAGGAGAUUGCUCUUCUGAGUCAGUUUGAACAUGAGAACAUAGUUCAGUACCAUGGCACACAAAAGGUACCCAUUAUUCUAUAGUCUAUACACAUGGAUAAUUGUUUAGCUAUGCUAUGAACUUUCCUAUAAUUGUAAGUACUCAUGGAGGUUCAAACUUCUGUUCAUGAUAUAAAAUUGGUACUUGCAACAGAUUCAGGUCAUGAUAUGCAGAGGCGUUAUUUUUACAUUUAUUUGACAUGACAUUGAUACCUUUGAUGCUGGUCUGCACAUUUUUUUAAGUACAGACCAGAGUAUGAAACUGGUAUUUUUUGCCUUUAUUUCGCUGUAUUUAUUUUAUGCAGUUAAUAUCUUUGUUUAAUUUCUUUUUUCCCAUCUACGAACUGACUGUAGAUAAAUGUAAACAUGCUGUCUACACUGUUAUGCAUUAUUGGGGUUACCUUAUCAUCUAGUGUCCAUAUUAUUUGAUACUUCUGUUUGAGUCCAAAAGUAUGAAGAAUUCAUAACAUCAAUACCAGUAGGUUUAUUUGUUAUGAAGCAGUUAAGCCAUUUAUUAGUUCAGCAUUAAUUUUUCAUAGCUCUUAUACCAAUUAUAUUUUCUGAAUCGUCUUUGCAGGAUGAAUCAAAGCUUUAUAUCUUUCUGGAGCUGGUAACCAAAGGCUCCCUUCAAAAGCUGUAUCAGACAUACCAUCUGAUAGAUUCGCAUGUCUCUGUAUACACUAGACAGAUCUUGCAAGGUCUGAAGUAUCUUCAUGACCGAAAUGUGAUUCACAGGUAACUCCCCUGACAUAUGUAUAUAUAUUAUGGUUUUGGCUUUAUUGUUCUCAGAAGAUUGUGAAAUCCCACCAAUGAGCCAUAUUCAUGUGAGGAUUCAUUCCAAAAGUGAGAAAACAAAGUGGCGCACCAUCACAAUUUCUGAUCAUCCUUCAUCUUGUAAUUUGGGUAUACCUAUUCUCAUCUUUCUGUGUCUUCCAUUCAGGGACAUUAAAUGCGCAAAUAUUUUGGUGCAUGCUAAUGGAUCUGUGAAGCUUGCAGACUUUGGAUUGGCAAAGGUUUGUCUUUCAUUCCCCAAAACAAUUGUAUUUUGUUGUUUUCAGUAGUUUGCACAAGGUUGUGAAUUAUUUCUCCUUAUACUGUGUUAUGUGUCCUCUUACCAGAUUACCAACAUGAACGACAUAAAAUCUUCCAAAGGAACUGCAUACUGGAUGGCCCCUGAGGUUUGCCUCUGCACUUUUGAAUUAGAAUUGUGUAUUAGUUUGCGUAUUUUUAUUUGAAAACGUAUUAUGUUGAAUGCUUAUGAGCUCUCUCAUUGGAGGAUAUACCUGUAAAUCCUGUAAUACUUCCAAAUCGAUCACUCAUUCUUGUUCUACCACCCAUCGACUGAGAGUGAUUCUUUUAGGAUGACUUUCAUGAACUAUACUUGCUUCUCGAUCUCUGACAGAAUUGUUGUUAGUUGCUUUGGGUAGGUUGUUGGAUUUUGAAUAUACCAUUUAUUAGAAAGAGUGGAUAUUGGUCAACAAAUGGCCAGGGGAAUCAGUAAGGUGCUAUAUUUUGUAUAUUCUAUUUCUACCAUAAGAUAAAAACAAAUUUGAACUACAAGAAGAUAGGAAGUGUAAACCGUGCAGUGUAAAGACAUGUAAUAAGUAGUCUAUCUGAUUUUACCAUAAGUAACUUGGUUUAUGGUUCUAAUCCGGACUUUACAACCAUUUUUAAUUAUGAUUCAGUAUAUGUAGUGGUGGUGGCCCUUGGGUUAAAGUUUACCUUUCUGUGUAUGUUGUUCUCCUGAUAUAUGAUUUUUGCAGAAAGGGCCACCUAUAAAGUGAUGUGGUUGGUAGGCUUAUUUCAGAUGUGUACAUGUUUAUUUGUAUAUAGUCACAAAUCACAAUCAAGAGAAGGAGAGGGAGAUGAGAAAAGUGAAAAGGAGAGCAAGGAUGAUGCAUAAAACUAAAACUAUAAACUUAUUAAAUCUAUUUUUAGUUUUUAAGAGAACUGUAAUGCAGCUUCUCUCGAUUUCCUUCUUUGUCCUCUUCUUUUUGUUCUCCCUUCCCAACACCAUUUGAAAGAAUUUGUGUUAAGUUCAUAAAGCAAUUUUGAUAGUUAACCGUUCUAGUUAAGAUGGUCAUUUCAGAAUCAACAGUUCCUUUAGUUCUUUAUGCUUGUGGCAAUGAUUGCUCAGUUUGGUACUUGGAGAUUGUUUGUUGGCACGAAAAAUCUUUUGUAUCAUGUGUAUGAACCUGUCUCAUAGCUUUUUCUCCAGGCCUGAUAGCUUUAUAGGCUGAUGGAUAUUUGUGAUUGAUGGGGGCGGGGUUUUGUUUGUAGGUAUCCUGCAAUCUGAAUCUUACCAGCUUCUAUUUUUCCUUUGUAUUGAUAUGAAUUAUCUUUUUCUAGCAUUUAAGUGAUGUCUUGACUUUUGCAACUUUGAAAAGCUGCAAGAUGUACAUGACCAGUUUUUUGACCAAGAGGUCGCUUGUGACUAUUCUAUCAUGUAGAUGUAGUACGUUGUCCACUUUUUUGGGAAUUCUUAACCAAGCUAUUAUUGUGCAGGUUGUUAAUCGUAUGAGUCAAGGUUAUGGCCUUCCAGCUGAUAUAUGGAGUCUUGGAUGUACUGUGUUGGAGAUGUUAACCGGGCUGGUUCCAUACUCGAAUCUCGAAUGGGUUUGUGCCAUUUUCAUUACUCUUUAUGUUUCAGGAUGACUAGACUAUACAUUUCUUCAAUUGUUUGGAUAACAUUUUCUCUUCUGUUUAAACAGAUGCAGGCAUUAUGGAAGAUUGGAAAGGGGGAGCCCCCUCUGGUUCCUGAUUCUCUUUCAAAAGAGGCACAAGAUUUCAUCCGUCUAUGCCUACAAGUCAAGCCAGAUAAUCGUCCCACUGCGGCUCAGCUUUUAAGACAUCCUUUUGUAAAUAAGUCCUUUCCUCCCACACCUUCUGGAUCAGUAUCUCCUUACAAUCAGCGCAGACAGAGUUAAAAAGAUUUAUUCAGCUACAAGUUGUGAAGGUAGCAAGGUAAAUUAUACUGAUUUUCACUGCUAAAUAUUGCUCAUAUCCGCACUACGACUCCUAUGAAAGCGAUGAAAAAAAAAAAAACAAUAUGUUCACCUAUCAAAAGAAGAAAAAUAAAUGCAUACUUCCACUGCCUUUCAUUUCUCAUAUCUUUGCUUUCGAUACCAGCUCUAUUCGACCCAAAGAAGACCCAAAGAAGCAAGACAACAACUCAUCAGGGUUAAAAAAAUCUUUUCUGGUGUACGGUGUUCAGCUAUCAAAUAUUGGCUUACACUGGUAGAGUGCAUGCUUGUUACAACUUCAGUGAUUUUCAAUCCCGACGUGGGAUCUGUCACUUUAGACGAACAACAAGAAUGAUUUUGUCCCUUUGUGCAUGCGAUGAAAUCAUCGUGCAUGUGGAGCAAAUCCUGCUAAUUAUUUCACCAUCAUUUCUGUUGUAGAUAUAUGAUUUUGACUUUGGAUUAGUGUUUACCCCUUUGUUCCCCUCCAAGGGAAGUGCUAUGUACACACUCAAGUGAGUGUUUGGUGGGUAAGAGAUAGUAUUGGCAAGUUGUGGUAGAUAGUUUUGUAGUAUUGGAAAGUAAUUCCGAUUUGUAUAUAUCCGUAAUCUGUUACUGACAGUGUCGUAAUUGGUAUGUGCAUUUCUUUUUAUGGCCGUUGAUCAAUAGAGUGCAUUCAUGAAUGUAUGUUCCUUAUGCAUAACACUUACGGAUCUUGAUUUUUGUUUCUUCAUGAUAGAGAAAUUAUGAAAUGCUAUCAAAGAUGCUAUACUGCAGGUUAAGAACAAGCUUGUUAAAAUGCGUUGAUUCUGGCUUCAAAAGAUUUAAAAUGAACGGAAUAAGCCUAAUAAGAAAAAAGAAAGACCAUGCUCGUGUGUUUCCUAUCCCAAUGUAAUGUAGUCGUUGUCCUCGCCAUUGCGUAUCGGUUCAGGAGGGGAUGGUAGAUCAAGUUCGAAGGUGCUUGACUCGCUAUUGCGUAUCAGUUCAGGAGUGGAUGGUACAUUAUGUUCGGAGGGGCUUGACUGUUAAAUUUUAUCCAUAAAUUGUUGCAAUGCAAAACCAUAUUAGUUUGACAUACUAUUCAAUUAAGAGUAAAUGCCUUAAUGAUACUAAUUUUAAAGAUUUAUUACCCACAUCAAUGAUAAUCUUUUCCCAAUGCCCAUCUCAAUUAUUCAUAAGAAAAAGACAUUUAUACCCACUGUUCUAUUCCCACCACUUAUCUCCUUUCUUAUCUUCUUUCCCGAUCACUUCUCACUCAUCUCUUAUCUCUCCUCUCUCUUCCUCUCUCUCACCUCGACGAACUUCCAUGGUGGAAGACAGCGUCGCCACCGACGCCCUCGAGCAAGGAGCAUCGGCACUACACCGUCACCAUCUUCCUUGACGACCGGGCCUCUCGCUUGCAACGAUCUCUGGAUUCAUCUUUUCGGUGAACACCAUCGGAAACGGCACCUCCGACCCGACCAGCUCACCGUCGACCGUCAUGUAAACCUCCCGGUAAGCUCUGUUUCCUCUUCCGGUGGUCAAAUUGUUCAUCGUGAUGUACAGAUUUAGUGGAUUCAGAUUUGCUUGGAAGGGAAAUCCGAUUGACUUUCGAUUCUGAACCAGAAUUCUCGGUCGUCGGCGUUGGAGAUCAGGACGAUCAAAUUGGCAGGCUCCUCAGGAACAAUCCUCAAUUUUCGUGUGAUUUGUAUUUUCGUAUGAUUUGAAUCUCCAUGAUCCUCAAGUUUCAACCGCAAAUGUGAUUUGAAUUUGGAAUCAUUUGGUUUCUUACCAAGGAUGUAUGUUUGAAUAGUUUCGGAUUGAAUAGUAUGAGUUCAUUGGUUUUACUAAUUUACUACCCCCAGUAAAUUUUGUUUUUUUGUAAUUAAGUUGAUUUUUCCUUUGUUUUAUUAUGUAUUAUGGCAUUUGGAGAUACUGUUUACAAGUUAACUGCUCCCAUUAGAAGUUUACUAGGGGUAGUAAACUUUAGUAAAAAUUUAACUACCCCCAGUAAACUUUAUUUUUUCGCAUCUAAGUUGAUUUUUCUCCAUUUUAAUGUGUAUUAUGGCAUUUGUAGAUACCGUUUUGCAAAUUUACUAUCUUCAGUAGAAGUUUACUAGGGGUAGUAAAUUUAAGUAAAAGUUUACUACCCUCAGUAAACUUUAUUUUUUGCAUCUAAGUUGAUUUUUCUCCUUUUAAUGUGAAUUAUGGCAUUGGAGCUACUGUUUUGCAAGUUUACUACCCCAGUAAAAGUUUACUAGGGGUAGUAACUUCAUUUUUCGCAUCUAAGUUGAUUUUUCUCCUUUUCAAUGUGAAUUAUGGCAUUGGAGCUACUGUUUUGCAAGUUUACUACCCCNNNNNNNNNNNNNNNNNNNNAAAAAAAACAACCUCAAACUACAAAACCCUUACUACAACCACCAUCUAAAGAGUGAAAAUAAAAAGUACUGACUAGAGGAAGAGAUCUGCUCCAAGCUUGUGUUCCAAUUUUAUGUCUUAGUUUUGUAAUAGCAUCCGCCACGAAAUUCGCUUCUCGGUGAACAUGUGUGAAAGAGACUUGACCUAUUUGAGAGGCAAGGAAGAGAAUGUCUUUGACAAAAACUUGAAUCUUCCAAGGAGUAAAUUUAAAGAUGUACCAUUGAUAAAAUUGAUUAAGAUUUGAGAAUCUCCUUCAACCAAAAUUUUCUGAAAACCAUAGAUCCAUGCUGCUAAAAGACCCGCACGUAAGCUAUGAGAACAUAUUUCAAUUAAUAGUUGUUACGUAUUACUUGAAAUGUCAACUAAAUUAUCUACACUUUUUAGUAGGGUUGGGCACGGUCCCAGACCAGCCGUAAUUUGACAAAGACCGGGACCGGCGAAGUAAGUCCGGGCAGGGCUUUAGGACCGGUUAAAACCCGGACCGUGCCUGAACGGGCCGGUUUCUCGGGUUUCUCGGGCUUUGUGAUAUUCUGUUUCUUUCAAUAUUCAAUAUGUCAUUCAAAGCCAACAUCUCGAGUUCUCGACAAAAAUUUCAUCGAACGAGUAACCAUCAAACAAACCUAAACACCAUACCUGAAAAUCUUAAACAACCCAUGUGCUCCACCAGAUCGCCGAUUGUUUCAAGUACCCAGACUUGCCGGAUUGGUUCGCCGAAUCUGAAUCGAACCCAUGUUCUCCACCAGAUCGCCGACUGUCUCAAGUACCUAGACUUGCCGGAUUGCUUCGUCGAAUCUGAAUCGAACCCAUGUGCUCUACCAGAUCGCCGACUAUCUCAAGUAACCAGACUAGCCGGAUUGCUUCGCCGAAUCUGAAUCAAACUCCACGACAAGCUCUUGCCAUUGCUCCCGACUCAACUGACGAGGACUUGACGGAUGAGGACGCCGUCGAUGGGAACGACGAGCCCGACGAGCCCCGACGAGAUGGAUGCUCUCAUCGACAACAACGUCCUCGAGCUUCUGAUUCAAAGUCCUCGAAUUUGGAGAGAAAGCUUUUCAACGAUUGAUCUUUGUCGACCUUGUUUAAGAACGAGAGAAAGAGAAAAGAAAAAAGAGGAAGCUUCUUCAUCGAUUGAUCUAUGCCGAUCAAAUUUGUUUCCAUAUGCGUCUGUGUUUCAGAAAGACAGAAGAGAAAGUGAUAAUUGAGAAGACGACGAUUUGCUAUUUAAGAUUAGAAAGAUAAGGUUUUAUUAGAUGGUGAUAAUCUCAUGUUUGUAUACAAUGUUCUUAAAAACACUAGCCUCUAGUCGGAUGGACAGUCGACUCCUAACGGUUUUGUAUUUUUCAUAUUUUUCAUAUUUUUUAUUUUUUAAUAACAAAUAAAAUAUAAAAAUAAAUUUAUAGGAUGUAUUAUAAUGUUUCAAAAUAGCAAAUAUUUUUUUUUUGAAUUAAAAAAAUACUUUAUUAAACCAGACUGCCAAAUAUCAAUAAGAGCUACAUCAGAAGGCUUCUCAAAAAAGAAACCCAAGACUAGCUUCUAUUACGAGCAACAAUAACUUCAUGAAGCCAUGGGGCCCUGAAUCAUAACAAAACAUAGACUGGACCAUCUUCAAAGCAUGUCGAGCAAGAGUGUGAGCAAUCCUGUUUUGGCGCUUACGCACAUGUUUCCAGGACACCCAUUCCAACUCUGCAUUCAUCAUACGAACUGCAUCCAUAAUUUCUCCAAUGUCGCUCAAAUCAAGUACAUUCCUACCAAUUGCAUUGAUCACAUUGACCGCAUCUCCUGCAAUCGCCAACUUUGUUACCCCCAUUUGUCUACACAAUUUCAUCCCAUGCCAAAGUGCUAAAGCUUCGAUGAUGUGGGGUUUGAGAACAGCUUCCAUAGGCACCGAAAUGGCUCCCAUCAGCUCCCCAUUAUCACUUAACACUACAGCACCAAUACCAACAAUAUUUGUAUUACUAUCACAAGCACCAUCAAAGUACAAUCUGGCAGCCUGCUCAUACAUACUGCUUCUCCCCACCUCUCCAUGACUUUGCUGCACUUCAGCACCAUUACCCCCUCCCAUCUGUAGAUUUUUCCUUCUCAACAUUACUCCAGAAAAUUCAUGUUGCCACUCCAAGCAUUUCUCCACAAUCUGCCUAGGCUCAAGGCCUUUUUUCCCAUGAAAGACCUCAUUUCUGUCCUUCCAUAACCACCAGCAAAUAAGAGCAAACAAUUCAGUAUUUUUGAUAUUCCCCUCCAUAGCUACCAAGCCAAAUAAAUCAGCAAAGCUAGAAAUCUGCUAACUUUUAUACACCCCUCUCCAGUAUGUACAUUUCCACACUUUUUUAGCCACACGACAACACCAUAAACUAUGAACCACUGUCUCCUCUCCUUCCCCACAUCUCCCACAGCCACUAUGAGAACAGAUAAAAUGGUCAACUACUAUGUUCUUAGAAAUAAAAUAAAAAAAACAAUUUGAAAUAAACAAAUUAGGCUUUGAUGUGUUUUGAUUUUUUUUUUUUUAAAAACUAAUCGGGCCACCUAGCCCGCCUAGGCGCCGCCCAGCCCGUUAGGCGGCCGUUUUUCUCGCUAAUGCCCAGAUUGAACGAUUAGUGGGAAAUCGGAACGGUGAGCUGACGUCUAACGCCUAGGCGGCGUUUUUUAGAACAUUGUUUCUAUAUAUUGUAGAAUACAACUGCAACUUGAAACAUAAUCUGGGCUUGAAAAACUAGCCCAUAAUGGGCUAAAUGGCACAACAUAACUAUAGUUCGGGCUUUCGGGCUCAAGUAUUAUUAAAAAAUCAAGGCCUUGGCCUGGACCGGCAUAGUCAUGGACCGGCUCGAAAUGAACAUUUUUUAUAAAAGGAUCGGAAAAAGCCUAGCUCGGCCGAUUAGGGUUAGUUUGUCAGUUUUUUUUUUGCUGCUACGGGCUUUAUGCUCAGCCCUACUUUUUAGUUGUCCAAUACCAUUUGGUCUACCAGCAUAGUCCCUCCUUAGUAAGUGAGAGGUUUUGAAUUCGACCCACAAAAGACUAGUUGUUACCGAUAAAAAAAAAACUUUUCUAAGCUAUAUGGCUUUUGGUUAAAAUUCCUUAUACCACUGUUCAGAUUUUGGUUGCAGCAUGCAGUAAAACAAAAUGUGCUCUCGUUUUAGCUAUCAUGCUAGCUUCACUGUUUAUAUUAGCUAUGAUGCUAACUUUUCUGAGUUAUAUGACUUUUGGUUAAAACUUCUUAUAUUACUGCUUAGACUUUUGUUACUGCAAUAAAACCAAAUGUGCUCUCGUUUUAGCUAUCAUGCUAGCUUCAUUGUGUAUCUAGCUAUGAUGCUAUAUGACUUUUGGUUAAAAUUUCUUAUAGUACUGCUCAGACUUUUGUUGCUUAGUCUAUCGUUUUAACUAUCAUGCUAGCUUCACUGUGUGUUUAGCUAUGAUGCUAACUUUCCUGAGCUAUAUGAUGCUAGUAUUCACUUCUUAUUCUACCUACUUGAUGUUAUUUUUUAUUGUUUUGAUUAAAAUGAUGUUAAUUUUUUUAGAUGAUUCACUUUAUGCUCUCUGUCUAUUUGUUCUGGAUGGAUUUCAGAUGUUUAUUGUGGAUACUUGGAUACUUGAUACUAAUUCUAUUCAAGUUUUCCAUGAACAAAAGCGUUUGGUUAAAAUUUCUUAGACUACUGUUCAGAUUUGGGCUACUGAUAAUCUUCAGCAGUAGCAAAAACUAAAUGUACUCUCUUUUAAGCUAUCAUGCUAGCUUCACUCUAUUCUACCUAUGAUGCUAACUUUUUUGAGCAAUAUGAUGCUAGUCUUCACUGAUGCUAGCUAUAAUGUUGAGUUCUUUUCUCUUUCUAUUUGUUUUGGCUAUAUGAUUAUUGUUUUGCCUUGAUUAUUCUCUUCAUGUUUUCAUAAAUUUUGAACAAAAGUGUUUGGUUAAGAGUUCUUAUACUUGAUAAUCUUCAGCAGCAGCAAAACUAAUUGUUCUCUCUUGAUUUUCAGCAAAACCCAAUCCAAAUGGCUUCCCCUGCCACUAUCACCCACGUAGCUCUCUCUGCAGCCAACCAAUUGAAGGAAAUGGUGCAUUAUGCUCGGUUUCUGAUCAUUAUUGUCGUGUGCAUUUGCCCAUUAAUUUGGGCUCUCAAAAUUGCUUGUUUAUCUCGGGAUUGGUGGUGAGACUUCUUUGGAAAGGGAUUGUUAAACUUCUCUCUAACAAGUUCCUAAGUUUCAGAGGCCUUGCUUAAAUGUUUGUUGCAAAGAGAGCCUUGAUGAUAGCAGAAGCAAGAGACGAGCACAAAUUGGGGGUCCACCAAGAGUUAAUAAUGCUUGAAAGGCAACAAAAAAUCUGGAUUAGGAGCAUAGCCGUAGGGUUCAUUGUUUCAGUUGUUCAGUCGUUUAUAAGUUUUUUAGUCUUUUAAUUUUGAUCGUGUAAUUUUCAUUUGAAUUUGAAGAAUGAAUGAAAUAGCUCCUGGUCUUUGAUUAUUGUGUUUCCACUUUCCAGAAUUGGGGGUUUAGGGUUCUACCUUCCCCAUUUAUUAAUACUGUAAAAGAUCACAUGAGUUAGUUUUUUAUGAUGUUUAGGGUUUAGGGUUUAGUUUGUUAUGAUGUUUAUCAUUUCUUGCUUUCCAGAGAAGCCAACAUUUAACCAAAAGACGACAAAAGUUGUCAUUUGACAUAUUUUUAGAACAACAACACAACCACUCUUCAAGAGAUAAGGAAGAAGAGUGACUGACCGUAUUAGUUAAGUGAUGGGUGAGUUGCACAGUCAUUUGACAAUCACGGAAUAAAUGAUGUUUGUAAAAGAUCACAUAUGUUGAAAAAAUGUUAUUAGGUGAUAAGUUCCAGUACGGUAUAUCUCUUAUCACUAAAUUUAUGGCAUUGUAUUGGUCUUAUCUGCAAGAUCAUAAAACGAGUUGCAUCAGUACUAUGGACUUCUGUUUUCACUACACCUGAAUCUUGUUUCCAUUUUUUAUACAAAGUAAAUUAUGUCUUUGUUGUGUGAAAAAUGGAACAAGUAGCGCUAUAAGAAUGAGUGUAACAUAAUAUUUGACUAUAUUCAAGAUGGAGGAUGUAAAAUGCAACUUAAGUGCGAUGGGAGCCAAAAAUUAUUAUAUUCUGAUUCUUACAAGUAUAGUGUAAAUUAUGUGUUCUCAUGUUCGUAUACUGAAUGAUCAUGCAAAUAAAUGUUGGUAUUCAUGUUGGGAAGAUAGACAUGUGAUCCAUAGCUUGGAAGAAAGACCUACGACCAAAUAGGUUUUUAUACGUGCACACCCUUGGUCUCUUUUAGUAGAGAUUGAAGGAAAGAAUCACAUAGGAGGACAUGUCGAUUCGAAAACGAUAAUUCACACGCGUGAGCACGGUCCUUCUACAUGCGCAUAUGCGCAUGCAGGGAGGCUAGCACUAUUUUUAGUUUUAUAGAUAACUUUAAUGCAGCUUCUCUCCAUCUCCUUCUUUGUCCUCUUCUUUUUGUUCUCUCUUCCUAACACCAUUUGAAAGAAAUUGUGUUAAGUUCAUAAAGCAAUUUAGAUUUUUUUUUUUUUGUAGAAGAAACGAAAAUGAUUCAUUAAACAAAGUCAGUUACAAUCCCUAGUGAUGAUAUCCUCAAGAAAAGGAGGAGUAUAAGUAAAAAAGACAUCACAAGGUUUACAAUUUAGAGCCUAAACAAGCAAGGGUGUGUGCCGCAUAAUUUUCAUCCCUAUAAAGGUGAGUGAAGGUGCAACCUGAAAGCUAAACAAAGAGAUGCAGAACAUCCUCCUCAAUCCCUUUUAAAAGAACAACAGAAUUAUGAAUUGAGUGGAUGACUUGCAUAAGAAGGAGAGAGUCUGUUUCCAAUUGGGCUAGACUAAAUCCGUGUUCCAAAACUAGGUUGCAGGUAACUUUACCAACUAAAGCUUCAAUACGAGCGGGGGAGGAAACCUGAUCAAAAGACAAAGCCUUCCCACAUAUAAACUGACCACACUUAUCCCUAACAAUAAUACCAACACCACCAACAUGAGAUGUCAUGUCUAAGACACCAUCCAUACAAACUAAACCAGCCACAGUUGGGUUUCUUCCAUCUAUACCUUGGUCAAGGAGCUAACGGAUGAGAAACAUUGGCUUGAAGGUACUUAGUAUACCAAACUUGGGCACUAAGCCUUAAAUUUUGGGGAUGGCAAGAUUUGUUUUUCCAAACCUUGUCAUUUCUUGCUUUCAAGAGAAGCCAACAUUUAACCAGAAGGCGACAAAAGUUGUCAUUUGACAUCUUUUCAGAACAACAACACAACCACUCUUUAAGAGAUAAGGAAGAAGAAUGACUGACCAUAUUAGUUAAGUGAUGGGUGAGUUGCACAAUCAUUUGACAAUCACGGAAUAAAUGAAGAGCAAUCUCCUCCUCGACUUCGCAUAAAGGUACAAAUAGUUGGAAUAUCAACAUGCUUUUUAACCAGAUUUUCUCUCGUAGAAAGGAAGUCACGGCAAGCUUUCCACAAGCAUAGCUUCACCUUGCCCGAAACCCUACUCUUCCAAAAAUUUCUUCUAGAAAGGAAUAACAACAUCUGAGGUGGGAGAGGAAGAGCUAGAUGCAGACAAAAUAGGAAGUACAAUGUUAUCCCUUGCCACUAAGUAAGCAUUUUUCACUGAAAAUACCCCUUCAAUGUCAUAUUGCCACACCAGUUUAUCUUUCGGUUGUCUUGAACUUAAAAUAAUAGAGGUGAUGGCCUUCACAUCUUCCAAAGGAAAUAAUCUCUCAAGUAAAGAAACAUUAUUGGAAAAGUGUAGCUUAUAUAUGAGCUAUUUCGAAUAUCGCAUCGGAAACGUGAUAGAGUCAUCCUUGAGUUAUAAGGAAUGAUACCAUACACACUAAUGUCGAGGCCUUUUAUGUAAAACCUCAUACCCGUUUCUCCACUGGGUGGCUAAAGUGGGAGGAGUAUCGGCAUUAUUGGACACGUGUGUAUGGGGCCCGUCGGCCGCCUCUGCAUAACAAGUGGUAUCAGAGCCCAGGUGACGCUGGGGACAUAGUGUCUCAUACGAUCGAGUUGCAAUUUGGUGGAGCUCUCUUGUUUGAAUUGAGAUCACAAGAUUCAGAUGGUUGUGAUUAAGGUUGAGCUAUUAGAAUUUGAAUAGUGAGACAGUUGGAGAUGGCUUGAAUCACGUCAUGAAAAAAGUGUGAUUUAGAUAUAAGUCAUUUAAAAUCUCACAUCGGAAUCGUGAAAGAGUCGUCCUUGAGUUACACACUAAUGUUAAGGUGUUUUGUAUAAAACCCCAUAUCUCACCUUCGUCUUCAUUACCACGUAAUCACGUAUUGACGACGUGUGUGAUGCAGGUCCAAAUGACAACACAAUGGUGCCACUAGUUCCUCACUCUGAACCGAACCGUAUCCGGAUACGAAUCAGAUCCGUAUAUAUAAUCACAAAAGUUGCCCACGCAACGCAACCACCUCCGCCUCACGUGACCCAGCGCCAACAUCGAACGCUCUCUCCUUCUUUCUCUCUCUCUCCGUCUCUCCCAUUCAAUCCCAAACUCUCUCUUUCUCUGCAACCUCCGCGGAAUUUGAAUCGUCUCUCCGACGCUUCCAGGUACGGAACCCCCCUCAUCCUCCGCCCUCGAUCUCAAAUUUCGCGCCUUUCUGCAAUCCCAUUUUCUAGGGUUUCAAUUUCAACGCAUAUAAUUGAUCCCAUUUUCUAGGGUUUCAGUGCUUUCUAGGGUUGAUUGCAACAAUAACCGGAUAGCCGGAGAUUUGGGUUUUUACUUUUUACUGUAAAGUUUCCAUCUUUCACUGUUUUAUCGAAUUACCUUACCAUCCGUACAAUUGUCUCCUAAGGAUCAAUUCUUAGAAAUCGAUCUCGGAUUCAGUACUGUAAGGUUGAAUUGUCUUUUGUUUUUCUGGGUUGAUGAGUGUCUUUAUAUUUCAAAGUACUUGGGUUUUUGAAACUAUGAUAUCUUUUUGAAACUCGGUUUUGCACAAGGAACACUUGAAAUUGUUGAGUGUGAGCAUAAGUAAUGUUUGUGAUUUAUGUCUGAAGGGAUUUGUUUAUUGUUUGUGGUUAAAUUUGUGUUAUGGGUGCGAUACUGCCAUGAUAAUCUUUGAGUGAGAAGAGAAUGACAGAGGAACACAUUGGAAACAUUUGAUGGGUGAUUGUCAUGCUGUUCUUAACCCUGAAAUCUCUCUAUUAAAAUUUUAAACAGAUUAUAGGGGUGUAUUUUGACUUUAUCUGCGCAAUUGAGUGACUAGGAGAGUUCUCUUAACUUUAGUGUAGAUGGAAUAAUUGUAACUGCACUGGAAUUUUUGGUCGUUCUAGAGGAGGCUUAGGUUAAUUUGUUGUAGGAGUUUUAUGAAUUCGUAGAUGUUUUGCUGUUUUCUUUUGUUCCUGUAGCUGGCCAGCUUGGCCUUUAGAAGGAUAUUUUAUAUGCACAAGAGCUUUGAGUGCAUCUUGGAUGUGCAUGAGCUGUAUAAGUUUCAUGGUGGUCAAAUACAUGCUAACUAGAAUUCGGUACCUUGACUGUUAUCUUUGCACAAUGCACCGCAAGUUAACACUGGAAUUUUAAUUUAAAUCAUUGCAAAAAACUGCCCUCCCUCGUAUUGUUUCUGUUUUGGGUGUGUAUAAUAGUUUUGCUAUAGUAUGUAUGCUUUUUUGAUCUACAAUUCCAUCUAUACUCUCCAUUAUUCUUUUCGUUAGUUGGUUAUCACGGGCCUUUGUUGACUGCGACUCAUUUUGUGUAUAAUUGUGUCUGUAUUUGGUUUUUGAUUGUCAAAAUAAUGAAGAUAAGUUUUCUUCUUCUUGAAAACAGUGACUGAUAGAUUUUGUUAUCAACAUUGCAAAUGGUUAGUGCUUAGAUUACGCAAUUUAUAACAGUCCGUAUAAUGUAUGGCUUUUUAUUUUAUCUUUCAGUACAUCCUAUUCAUUUUAGAGUUGUACAUGUUUGAUUAGCUACGUUAAAUGGACUUUAUUCUGAAGGUGGUUAUCAAAACUCCUUUGGUUAUUAGUAGCAGAAACUAACCACUGAGCGUGUUUGCCUUAGACUGUAUGAAAUUUCAGAGAUUAUGCAGUGCAAUUUUUCCUCUUUUUCAUAUGGUUUGACAGAACUGUUGCUUGUAGGCUUGUUGGUAGAGUCAUAGACAGAUCUUCGCAGUAACUUGUAAAUAUGUUUUGUUAGAUGUGAAUGAACAAUCAACAGCCUAGUGAAUGUUGCUAACGAUUUACUGUUGUGGAAAACUUGGAAUAAUUUUCACCUUCUUUUGUCAAGCUUCAGGGUCUAUUUGUACAUGGCCAAAGUCAACAAGUUGCGCCGCAAAUCUGACUCUCAGUCCUUGAGGAGGACACCAUAUGUGCUAAGGGCUGUUAAAGAUGUCUGUGCGAAAAAGAAAUCUGCCAAACCAUUGAAGAAGAAAGAUUGGGAAGAUGUGAACUGUUCAGUGUGUAUGGAAUCUCCUCACAAUGCAGUUCUCCUCCUUUGUUCCUCUUAUGAUAAGGGAUGCCGCCCUUAUAUGUGUGCUACUGACCAUCGCUAUUCCAACUGUCUUGAACAAUACCAAAAAGCAUACACAAAGGUAUCUUCUAUUCAGAAUUCGCAAGAGUGGGAUUUAUCAGUUGGAUAUUUAGGUUUCAAUUCUAGUGAAGGGGAGCCCAUUGAGAAAGGGGAGAAACCAGAGCUUCUAUGCCCACUUUGUCGUGGGCAGGUUAAGGGUUGCACAGUGGUGGAACGUGCAAGGAAACAUCUUAAUGCCAAGAAGAGAACUUGCCUGCAGGAUAAGUGCUCAUUCUCUGGAACUUAUAGAGAACUCAAGAAACAUGUCAAGUCAAAGCACCCAUUGGCACGGCCCCGGGCAGUGGAUCCUGUACUGCAAGAAAAAUGGAAGAAGCUUGAGGGCGAAAGAGAGAGGAAUGAUGUAAUCAGCACCAUAAUGUCUUCUACACCAGGGGCAGUGGUCCUUGGGGAUUAUGUGUUGGAGCCUAACCAUGAUGGCAUUUACAGUGAUUCCGAUUCUGAACUAGAUGACUACAUUGAUGAUUUGGGUUUUGGGCCAUUUGUGGGUCUAAGUGGUGCUCUUUUCUCACAGCGGAGGUUUCAAACGGACUAUGACUCUUUGGAUGAUGAUGAUGAUUUUUCACGUGCUGCAGCUUCUAUUUCUUCUGUUGCACCUCGACGCAGUUUCCCAAGAAACCGGGUGAUAUUUGGUAGGCCAAGGCGGCGUCGUAGAAACAGAGAAGAACGUGCACCUGGACGAUUUGUGUGAUAUAAGUUACCUAGAAUCUGGGAAGUCUUGGGUUCUGCUUUUACAAUUUGCAUCUUUUCUGUAUUCAUCUCAUUGCUGCACAUUGUUGUAAUGGUAUUCCUUAGCAUUUUUGUUAAUUAUUGUCAACUAAGGCAGUUGACUCCAACUUUUCCUUUAUCAUCAGCAUUGCUUCUUUUGCCUGAUGCCCCACACUGUGAUUAGUAAUAGGUUUACUGAUUAACAGAUUGUAGAUAAACAAAUACCAGAGCAUUGCUGGUGGAUGUUUUAGGGUGUUGCCAUGCCUUGAGUAUUCUCAUAGGUUGCAACGAUUUGCUCUUUGCUGCCAUUUGAACUGGGAAAUGAGUUGUGCUUUCAUUUACUCUUUUCUUGAUUCUUAGAUUUGCUCUUGGCUUCCACUUGAACAGGGAAAUGAAAUUGUGCUUUCAUUUUAUUCUCUUCGUGAUUCUUAAACCAGUAUUUCUCGUCUGUAGAUUCUUGUAGACAAUUUUCAGCAGCUGUACAGUUUUUUCAGUUUCUUUAUUAUCUUUAGUGUUCGGGCUCUAUAUUGUAUGAUCUGUGCUCUGUUUUGCCUCCGUUUUUUGCUUUUUUUCUUUAUUGUCCUCUGUUUCGUAAUCUUUGCACAAAGUGCGAGGUAUGUUAAGAAACGUCUGUGGAAGCUUAUUUAGUUUUGGAGUUGUUUUCUGAAUAUAAGCUGGUUAUGCCUGCAACUCCAGAUGCUUGUUAGGCUUUACAUAUACAUAUGACCCAGUUUUUCAAGGAACUGUAAAUUCUAUUUCUAUGAAAGUAGUAGCGCUAGUGAAAGUAUUUAAAACAACAGCAUUACAUGUGAUCAAAAUAGACCUGGUAACAUAACUGGGCUAUGGUAGUAGUACUAAUACAGAUCGUACACAUCUUGAAAUCUAUAGCCACCAUCUAGUCCAUCAAACUCGAAAGCCACGGGGAAUGUUCUGCAUAGCCCUGUAGGAAACUUGAAGGUGAUCGUCCCGAUUGGUGGGUCAUCCAAAUCGAUAUCCAGACCAAGAGCUCCUUGUCUAGAGACUCGACUCCAGCAGCCUUCUGAUCUUACACUUCAGAACAUAGGUUGUGAUCUCAGUUGCAUAGCUGUUCAGCUUCCCAACCUUCUCAAACUUGUGCAGUUGUGGGUGCUGCUCUUCUUCUGCUUGAGCCAAACAAGCCAGUCGCUUUGAUGUAGCCACAUUACACCGUAUCAUGUCCAUCAUGGGCAGGAGUUCAUCUCUGUGAUCAGGAACUUUGACUUCUCCUGGCAGAUAUCAUCACCAUGGUAGAGCUCAUCAGCCUUGGCUCUCAACUCCUCAAUUACAACAGACAUUCUUGUGAAACUUGGUACUUUUGGUGGUACUUGGUUUCUGAAAUUUGCUCAUGUGACCCAGUCAAUUUGUUGAUUUUGUGCUGUUGCUGAUUAUGAUAUGAGAGGGAUAGCAAACCACAUCCCCUCUUACAUAUGAAACUAUAGCAAGGUAUAGUCCCAAUAAUUUUGUUGUGCAAAUAAUUUGGCAUGUCCUCCUAAUAGGUGGUGAAAUUGGUUUAGCGAAUUACUUGCAGAGUAUUUUCUGCUGGAUUAAUGUAGUAAACAUUGUCCUCAUUUUCAGUGUUUUGACUCGGCAAGAUGUUCACUGCUUACAUCUAAACGUGCACCUAUUUGAUGUGACAACAGUUCCACCCAUGGAGGAUAUUAUGGAUCUGAAAUUACUUCUGUAACAAACAGAACUGGAUAAGUGGGUGAAAGGAACAAGACCCUUUCAACUUCCAUCUCAAUGAACUAGAUGAUCAACAUUCAUAUUUGAUACACUAAUACAAUAACAAAAUUGAACAAGCCAGAUGAUCAAUCAGCUUGAUGAUGUUUCCGUUCAACUUGGGACCCUUUGUUGCAGUCCCACAAACCUCUCAGCAUACACCUCAACUUCCUCUGCACAUGUGUGACACACAUAUUCAUACAUCAAAACAAACUUGCAUAAUGCAUAACUAGAAAAAAAGAAUGUGGAAGAAGAUUGAUUGACAUGACUGUAACAUACAAUCAUGUUCGAAUUCCUUUUUGAGUCGGUAGCCUUUCUUUUGCUGUAACUGUUCCAUUUGGAACUGCACGGUAUGUCGACUUCUGGUACUAAUCGCUGAUACCUCCAUCUGCCACCCUUUGGUCUCCGGAGUCUCACUGGAGUUGUGAACCUAUUUCUAUUUGGCUGCUCAGUAAUGUCAAAAAUCAUUUUCAGUUUGAUAAUUUGUUGAAAAUUGUGCUCUUGUUAGAAAAUGUUAUAAUGGUGUGUUGCCAAACUCAAACUGUAAAAUCAAACUACUAUUGAUAAGAGAUCUUGUUUUAAAGAGUGAUCUGUAUCAAACGAGAACAUACUUGUAACAUAUCUGGUAAUAGAUGAAAUGAAACUAACCUUGUGCUUAGGCUUUGAGUUUGAGCCAUUUUUAGGCCGCUGCAACUGUUGAGAAGUAGCAUUUUUUCUUAGCUCUUGAGCAUAAGCAAGAAGAUGAGCCCGACGAUCAUAGAUGUGUGUUGUCGCAGUCUGAGGAGGCUUUCUGGAGAUUUUCUUGGGAUUAAUCUUCUUAAAGGGAUGAUGUGAGAGGGAAUCUGAUUCAACAUAGACAGUGAUGAUGACUUCCUUGUUGUUAGGCCUCACUUUUGUGUCAUUGUUAUUAAUCAUCUUCUCCUCUAACUCUUGAUUGCCCAUGAUUCUGAGAUCAGUGAGGUGUGAUUGAAUUGAAAGCAUUGCCUUUGUUAUGUCUAAGGAAGCACUUGUUGGAAACACAGAUGAGACAGGUGUUACUCCUGAAAGCAACAAAAUAGAUUGUGCAGAUGAUUCAAUUCAUGAAUAACGCUAAUAUCAUUGACAGUUUGACACCUUCCAUACUUAUCAUCCCACCCAUCGUACUUUACUUUUUUCUGUUAGAAUUUACAAAACAGGAAUUAAUUUCAAUCAAUAUUCCAAAAAUGUUCUAAUUUUGAUCCUAAUCUUAAUUUUUUUUUACUAAAAGGAGUACUAAGAUACAAUGUUUGCUACCAGGUAUCCAUGAGUCUCGGAACAAAGAGGCAAACUACUAGCCUGUCUAUCACGCCAUGGCAAUGAUAGUAAGGUUCAAAAUAUGUUAAGUGCUUAUUUAUACCGUCCAAAAUAGACGGAUGAUAAUAAUAUCAUUCUAUCAUAUAAAGUAUAUUGAUAAAUUUCUAAGGAUAUAGUAGUGUAAAUGAAAAUGAAUUUUAUGAUUUUGGUGGAGAAUACAUUUGCACGAGUAUAUGAGAAUGUUUUCUUGUCAAUGUUAUUAAGGGAAGGUUGACCGCUAAUUACUCUGAUACUGGACGUCUUUAUUCUGAUCUAAGUUACCGUAUGUUUUCCGGCUAAACUUGUGGCUCAAUACAACUGGGUGAAGUGGAUGAGCAAAACAUUUCAAACCUCUUUCCAUUUUCUUUCUUUCAGUAAACACAAACAAAUGCUGCAGCUCAUGAGCAUGGAUGCAUAUGUGAUUUGAUGUACGUAGUUAAAAAAAACAUACUCGUACAUGUUAAUUCAGGACGUAUGUUGAUUUGAUGUAGUUGUACUUGGAAUGAAGUUAAUCUCAUAUAAUAAUACUGAUCUGUGUAGUGGUAAAUCUUGGAUAGGAUAGCUUAACAAAUGGACAAAUGGAUUGUUUAAUGAUGAUCACAUUUGAGGAGAAAUGAAAACGACCACAAAUUAUUGGUCUCACACUAAUAUGUACUAUUCUUAACUUAAUUAAUCACUUGCACUUUGGCAAUAUAGGGGAGUAAUCAACCAGUGACAGUGCGUACGUAGUGAGUGACUAUAGCAAGUUAACGUGAGUCGUGUGAGUUGGGGCUUCAUUGAGGAAAUGAGCAGCUCGGUUUAAACUUUUAAUAAUAUGUUUAGGGUGUGGAUAUUUCCACUCCACUAAAUGCUCAGUUCAUCUCACGUCUUAUUUUUUUACCUUUAAUGUUCCAAUUCUGCCCUUAAAAUUUUGAAAAAAUCUGGUUUUUAUUUUCUUUCUUUUAACUUACAAUUAUAAAAAUGAUAAAAUCUNNNNNNNNNNNNNNNNNNNNNNNNNNNNNNNNNNNNNNNNNNNNNNNNNNNNNNNNAAAUAAGAACGAACAAUCCCACCACACCGUAUAACCACCCUUGAAGAUUAAAGUGAUUCUCAAAUCUGUAGAGAAUUGUUUUUUUUUCCCCGUAAAGAUGUAGAGAAUUGUUGUUGUUUGGAUAUUAUAGAUUUUAAUUUAAUAUUAUAUUUUCAUAAAAAUUCUUGAUUGUGGGGUUAGUAUUGGAAUAUUUAGUUUAAAAUUGAAAUGUGGGGUGAAUAAAAUAUUUGAUGGGAUGACAAUAGCCGCAUCCUAUGUUUAACAACAAAUCAUCAUGACACUACAUCAACAUAAUUUUCAAUGUUUUCUUUGGCCAAUAAUUCAAACAUAUAUGCACUAAACUCAGGGUAAUUAAUACUUAAGAUUCAUUUCAAAUCUUCGGCCUGUCCAUUUAUACAUCAUGUAUUUUCGUUUAUUUCUACUUUCAUGAUCGAGAAUCGCAUAUUGAUCAUUAGCCCUAUAUGGCUUUCACAAGGUAGUCUACAUUGCCAGGCAAAAGAAAAUUCAGCACUUUGUUUUUGUCCCUCAAUUUUCUUUGAAAUAGUUCAUGAGUUACGUGGGAAUUACGUUUUUAGUUCAGCAGAGUCUUUAAUUUGAUUCAACACCCGACAUAUAUACCUUUGAUGAGAAUUCAAAAACCAGUUUGGUUUGCAAAUUCAGAAAGACCGGCCCAAAAAAACCCUAGCCAGUGUUAGAGGUUUGCUACCGACACGUCGUUUCAAUGAAAAGUUUUAUGGUCGUUCUCACAGAAAAUCCAUGAAUACGUAUGAUCCAGAAAAGUACGUGGUGAGGAACCAAUGAUGGAGAGGCUGCUGGUUCUAUACAAUAUCCCACCACAAAAUCAAAUCGAUCGCCAGCAAAGUGUGGGCUCUGUGGCACUGCCAUUUCGAGAAAGAAAAAAUAUCCAAACCACAAGCCAAUGAAACCAGAAACCAAGUCACAUCACGACGUCGCGAGUGUCCUAGAUUCGUCUUCGAAUUCCUAGCUCUAUAGUAAAAGGGUCUCAGCCAUAAGUUAAAAAGGCUCUGUCGACCUAUUAGGACGUCGAUCAUCGAUCUCCAUGGACCCGAUGAUCAUGUUUGACAAUAAUAUUCGACUCUCUAUUUUGUCAGAUGGAUGAGAAGCAAGCAAAGACCAAAAACAGAAAAUGGCUCCAAGGCCUCACCAAAGGCCACACGGCCAGCUUCUUCCCUAACCCCCUCAGUUUUCUAUCAGCCGCCCCCAGUUGGGAUGUUGUGGCUCGUGACCCUUCUAUCAAUUCUGUUAUAGCUUUGGUUUCUCAGCAUAGAAACCAUGGCUGCUAGGCGCCCCAUGUUUUAGUGCAUUGGCCAUUGGAGCAUUCCAUUCGCCACUUUUCAUGCACAGCUCCUAAACAAACUGACUGUCCCCAGCUCUCUAGCUUCCUCAUAUUGAUUUGCUUGCGUCCAGUGAUUGACUUAUUCUGCUCCAUCCCUUUAACUUUUACCAGUUGUAUUUUGUUGCUGCAAGAUCUGAUUAAUUAUUUGUUAAAUCGAACUAAUCGGGAAUCUUACAUUUCUUUUCUCUAAUCCACUCUAUUAAACAAGGUAAUCACGUACAUUUGUUUAGCGACAAGCAUUGCCUACCUGCAGCUAAACCUGCCCUUUCUGAUUUUCAUAUUCGAACCAGGUGCAACAACAAACUCUAAAGUUUGUACUUAACAGUAUUAUUUGCGUGGUACCUGUACUUUUGCAGCAAAUAAUAUGCCAUAAUGAAACAGCUAGCACCAUACAAUCUCUGAAACUAAGGAUUAGAAAAUUGAGAUGAUACGUACCGUAAGGUAGCUCUCCACAGAUUAAUGCUCAUACGUACAGUCGAUCAAUGAGUAAAUUAAACACCUCCAAAACCCCUAUAGCUUAGAGAAUCAUAUAUAUACUCACCAAAUUUAAGUAGGAAAAACUACAGAUCGAGGGAACAAUUAAAAGAUUUUGGCGAUGAAAAACUAAUAACAAUCUGUUUAGAACACGAAUACAGCAAUGUCUUUUUACAAUUGUGCAGUAUAUAUUUUUUUUUAGAAAGUAGGUGGUUACCUGAAGCAAGUGCUGUUUAUUGUAUGUAUACAAUACAAGUAUCCGUAUGGACCGUAUAAUAGUUUUUCAAUUGUAGAUUUGCAGGUAUACAAAUACAGUGAUUACAGUCACUAUCAUCUUAAACUUUUGAAGUGUAAGGCAGAUAUUUAUGGCCUGCUUUUCAAGUGAGAUAUUGAUGUCAACAAAUAUCAUUCGAAAAGUCCCCGGAAUAUAUAAUUCUGCAAGUUCUAGCUACAAUUUGUCCUUUUUUUUUUUCUUCUUCUUUUGGCCAACGGAAAUGUACGUAUAUCCCAAACUAAUCAAUACAUUUUCAUUGACCGAAAAAUACCCUUACUUGGAAAAUAUAAACAAAGAUGUCUAAAAGUCCGUAACAUUUAAGUAUCCAACAUUCCAACCCUAAACUAAUUGACAAUGCGAGCGCGUAGAGUUUUCGGUUUCUAAUGCGAGACUUUUUCAACAUAAAUAUCUCUCGCUUACUAUAGGCAAUAUAUGCGAAAUCCAUGCAUAGUCGACCCUUGAGGAGACCCAAGGAUACGUACAAUUUGUUUAAGUCCUAAACUGCCUGCAAAUCGUUGAAACAGACGAACAGUAUUAGUUAGGAAUCAUAUAUGCUGUAAUACUGAUAGAUCAAUCGGCCCGAAAGCUUCAAAUUCCAGUAACUAGCAGCUGGCUGCUGAUAGUUUUCCGUACGUAGCUUCAUCAUCCACACGGUAAUGCAUGCAAUAUUGCAAUAUAUGGUAUGCCCUAAUCAUUGGCCCGGCCAAUUGCAAUUUUCUAUCCUUAAGUUUCAUUUUCUUGUGUUGAUUAAAAGAUGAGGGUGUACUGUACGUACUACAUUAUAAACUAUGGUCUUGUACCAUCAAAAUAUAUUAACAUAUAUAUAUAUAUAUAUAUAUAUAUAUGUAUGUCCAGACCCAGCAGACUCAAAUUUAAGACCUUGCUUGCACGUACUUCCCAGAUGCAUGGUGUGUCAAUUCUUACUUUCAGUGAUAUAUACAUAUGCGACUGAAAGUGAUAUAAUGGUUUCUUAAAUUCAGGAUGGAAAUUGAAUUAUUCCACUAUAGUUUUAAUUUGUUAUCAUAUGGUUUGCUUGCUACAACUGAAACUAAAUUUGUUAUUAGGAAUAGUAAUAAUAAUUACGCCGAAUAAAAAGUCAAUUUCAAGCAUGUCGGAAGUUAUGAUCUGUCUCACGUACGAUAGACUAGUUAUAGCAAUUGAGUUGCUUGUUGGAUCGGAAAAAAAAAUUAUUCGAUCAAAAAAAAUGCUAGCAUACGUUUUUUAACCCAACUGGGCUAGUCCGCAUAAAUGGUUCGCUGCUAGGGUUUCCUUGACAGAGAAAUUGACCGAGAUCGGAGGUGUGAUGGCGGCGAUGACGUACUAUCAUUUUGCAGAUUCUUUAGGCUUUUACUUUGUUGGUUAGUUAAUAAUACGACUACUCCUUGGCAGUCUUUGGAUUAGGUUGUCUGUUUUUACAGUUUUACUUAGCAACCUGGAUGGGUAUCAAUUUAUAUUAUGAGGAGUUCUUCCUUAGCUUCAUGCAUGACAUUGUUGGAACACAAUUUAUACCUAAUCAAGUACGAACACUGUUCCAAAAAAUAUAGAAUUCCACCCCCAUUUUGUAAAUCAAACUGGAUUUCUUUUUCACAGGGAAAACCACCCGGAUAAAAUGGGAAAAAAAAUAAACAAAUAGAGUAAAUACGUAUAUAAAUACGUAUUCCAUCGCCUUGGAUUAUAAGGCAGUAAGACACGAGCCAUCCUAGUGAAGUCUCUACCCAACUCCUCAGUCCAGCCGCCAACACCACUAACUAGCCCCGAACCAAACCCAACUGGUUGGGUCCCUAACUCUCCGUGUGACACGUGCUCACCCCGCCAACCGGGUGCCUAUAUAACUCUCCGUUCCCCCUUCCUUCAUUUUCAGAGAUCCCAAAAAGACUCUCCCUCAUUCUUUCUUAGCACACAAAAGAAAAAAGCACAAGACUCCCACAUAGAAACCUGAACGGACCAUGGCGACCUCAGUCCAGAACCGCCAGUUCCCUCACAUCGAGCCCGCCCUAAACGGCGUCGUCCGCUCCUCUUUCAAAUCAAGUCCCACCCGCCAUUUUCAAGAGGCACCGAAAAUCCCGGCAGCGGUGGACGACGACGACGACUACUCCUCCAGCGACGACGAAAACGACGAGAGUAUUAAAGAGUACAUGGACAUGGUCCGGAGAGGCAACAACGAGCUAGAGCCGUCGAUCUUGGACCCGAGAGAUGAGGCCACGUCGGACAACUGGGUGGAGCGAAAUCCCAGCAUGGUCCGCCUCACAGGGAAACACCCCUUCAACUCGGAACCGCCGCUCAACCGCCUCAUGCACCACGGCUUCAUCACACCGGUCCCAAUCCACUACGUCCGCAACCACGGCGUCGUCCCCAAGGGCACGUGGCACGACUGGACCGUCGAGGUCACCGGCCUCGUCCGCCGCCCGGCUAAGUUCACCAUGGACCAGCUCGUCACCGAGUUCCGUUCCCGGGAGCUCCCCGUCACCCUAGUCUGCGCCGGAAACCGCCGCAAGGAGCAGAACAUGGUGAAGCAGACCAUCGGCUUCAACUGGGGCGCCGCAGCCAUCUCCACCUCCGUGUGGCGAGGCGUCCGCCUCCGCGACGUUCUCAAGCGGUGCGGGAUCUACAGCCGCAAGGGUGGGGCCCUCAACGUCUGUUUCGAAGGCGCCGAGGACCUGCCGGGUGGCGGCGGCUCCAAGUACGCCACCAGUGUGAAGAAAGAGAUUGCGAUGGACGAGAGUAGGGAUAUCAUACUUGCUUACAUGCAAAACGGCGAACGUUUAGCCCCGGAUCACGGGUUUCCGGUUCGGAUGAUCAUACCCGGAUGCAUCGGAGGCCGGAUGGUGAAAUGGCUCAAACGGAUCGUCGUCACGACGAAAGAGUCGGAUUGUUAUUAUCAUUACAAGGACAACAGGGUCCUUCCCUCGCAUGUCGAUGCCGAGCUCGCCAAUGCUGAAGGUAAACUAUUUAGUUACUAUUUAAAAUAAAGUUAGUUACUAUCUACGAAGAAUGGAGCUGAUAUAGUUACUGUUGUAUGGGUGGUGCAGCAUGGUGGUACAAGCCAGAGUACAUAAUUAACGAGCUGAACAUAAACUCUGUUAUCACGACGCCGUCGCACGAAGAGAUAUUGUCUAUAAACUCGUGGACGAGGCCGUAUACUCUCAAAGGAUACGCAUAUUCCGGUAAGCAUCUGCCGACGAUAAUCUAUUUGUCUUUUCGUUGCAAUAUAUCUAUUUUUCACAUGGAACCGAUUGAAACACGUAGCUGGGUGCAUUGAGAUGCACAUUCAAGUGAGGCCGUACGAACAUAUCUCAAACUUGUACACUUACACACUGCUUUGGUAAAAUAUGGGUGGUGAAUUAUUUUCAUGAAAACAAAAUUACGGGUGGACUUUUCCAUAUAUAGGUUUAGAGAGUAAGGCAUGCAUCAUUCCAUUUGUUUGCUUUUCAGACCAAAAAAAAAUAAAAAAUCCAUUUGUUUGCUUGACUUCUCGUGGCAAGACUAACACAAGUCUUUUUCUGCGAGCUUUGUACUUUCCGUCACACAUCUUAAUUUCUACACUGCGUAAAUAUUUUUUCUGAGUUCUUUUGUGUACAUAAAUUUAAGAUGAGGGUGGUCACUGUCACUAACACAGUUUAUACAGAACAAACAAACUACCAUAUUUGUGAUAAUUAUAAUUAUAAUUUUUAGAAAAAGAGAAAAAAAAAACUUGUAUGGGGUGAUCCACACUAAUGAUAUUUAUCUAAAACACUACUUCGUAAUCAAACUAUCAGAAUAACGUCGAGAUAAAAUAACGAGCGAUUUUCCUAAUCGUUUCAUUUUUGAUUCUCCUAGUCUUUCGUUCUUGAUUCUCCUAUUUGUUUUAAUCUUGAUUCAUUUUCUAAUACCAUAUACACAUAAAUAUACAUAUUUCAAUUGGUUCAUGAUUUUGAUGGGGCCGCCACCGGCUACAACCAACGGAAUGUCAUAGUUUCUCAUUCUUAUGAUAACGAAGUAAUUCAUUUUUCUUGACAAGGAAAUAAGAUGAAAGCAACAUGUUAAUUAAGUUGUGGGGGCUGGGGCUUUGUUUGUUUGUUUUUUUUUCUUCCUUUUAUUCUUGUUGGGUGAUUUUCAAAGUUUUCAACUCAUGCAUUACGUGCAUGUUUGAAAGAAUUACCCUAAUGGAGUUGUGCUGCGUUUUUACAGGAGGAGGAAAGAAAGUGACACGAGUGGAGGUGACUGUGGACGGUGGUGAGACGUGGCAGGUCUGCAAUCUGGACCACCAAGAGAAGCCGAACAAGUAUGGCAAAUACUGGUGCUGGUGCUUCUGGUCACUCGAGGUUGAAGUGCUCAACUUACUCGUAGCCAAAGAGAUCGCAGUGAGGGCUUGGGAUCAAACCCACAACACUCAGCCCGAAAAGCUCACCUGGAACGUAAUGGUACGCAGAUUCAUUCCUGCUCUUGUUUAUAUAUUAAACAGAAUAAGAGGUUAGACGAUAUUAGUGCUUGGAUAAGACGUUCAUGCUCUAAUUGGCUCUGCUUAAUUAUCAAUCAACUUCAACCUCUUUUGCCGGAACCAACUGGGUUCCUUCUUUCAAUUCACGUCAUGUGGUUCUUGUUGUCGAUCAUGUCUUUUCCAAGUUGUUUAGUAUAUGCAUCAGCUUGGCAAUUUGUGAUGAGGACCGUCACUGUCUCUGUUUUAUAAUUGAAAAGCAUGUCUAACUAGUUUAUUACAAUUGAGGUCAUUCAAUUAGUUUCCUCAUUAUUGGUUGCCUCCUACCUUGGAUCCCUAAGCCUUGGAAGAGCUUAUUUUAAUUACCUAUUUUAAUGGUGCAAGAAUUAAUAAUAUUUGAUUGAUUCGUUGGCUGGGAAUAAAACCUAGUGUUUUCAUAUUUGCCUGCAAUUGUUGACCAUUAUAAAAAAAACAAGGGGGACCUUAAAACUCUUCUAUUAUUGUGCAAUGUUUCAACUAAUUUUCUUGUAGUUGUGGACCAUUUGAACCUGGAGUACGUCUCUUUCCUAAUUGGUAUGAGCUUGUGGUUAAAAUGUGCAGGGUAUGAUGAACAACUGUUGGUUCCGUGUGAAAAUCAAUGUGUUGCCACACAGAGGAGAGAUCGGAAUAGUAUUCGAGCAUCCGACCAAACCCGGAAACCAAUCCGGCGGGUGGAUGGCGAAAGAGAGACACUUGGAGAUCGAAUCCAACGCGACCCUCAAGAAGAGUGUGUCUUCACCCUUCAUGAAUACUUCAAGCAAGGUUUACUCGAUGUCCGAAGUCAAGAGGCACAACACCCCUCAGUCUACAUGGAUUGUUAUCAAUGGUCACGUCUACGACUGCACUAAAUUUAUCAAUGACCAUCCUGGCGGUGCUGAUAGCAUUUUGAUCAAUGCCGGAACGGAUUGCACGGAAGAGUUUGAAGCAAUCCAUUCCGACAAGGCCAAGAAAAUGCUAGAGGAGUAUCGAAUAGGGGAGGUGGUUGGUACCAAUGGUUACGCCUCCGACUCUAGCUCCCCUAAUAACACCGUUCAUGGGAUAUCAAGAAUAUCGACAGUGAAUUCUAUGUCUUCUCUUAACAAUGUUUUGGCCCCUAUUAAAGAAGUCACGCAAAGAAGCGUGGCGCUCAAACCACGUGAGAAAAUUCCGUGCAAGCUUGUGACCAAGACCACGAUUUCACAUGACGUGAGGGUAUUCAGAUUUGCAUUGCCUUCGGAAGACCAAGCUCUAGGGCUGCCGGUGGGAAAGCACAUUUUCUUGUGUGCUACAAUUGAGGGCAAGCUUUGCAUGAGGGCAUACACACCAAUCAGCUCGAUUGAUGAAGUUGGUUAUUUUGAGCUGGUGGUGAAGGUCUACUACAAGAAUGUGCACCCUCGGUUCCCUAAUGGAGGGCUCAUGUCACAAUACUUGGACUCUCUCCCAAUCGGGGCUGCUCUAGACGUGAAAGGUCCAUUAGGUCACAUAGAAUACACCGGUAGAGGUAACUUUUUGGUCCACGGUAAACCCAAGUUUGCAAAGAAGCUGGCCAUGAUUGCCGGAGGGACGGGGAUCACUCCCGUUUACCAAGUAGCACAGGCCAUCCUGAAAGACCCGGAGGACGAAACCGAAAUGCACAUUGUGUAUGCAAACCGAACCGAGGAGGACAUUUUGUUGAGGGAAGAGCUUGAUAGUUGGGCCAAGGAGCACGAGAGGUUCCAUGUUUGGUAUGUGGUGGAGAAUGGUAAGGAAGGCUGGGAAUACAGUACGGGAUUCAUCUCGGAGAGUAUACUGAGGGAGCAUGUUCCCGAUGGAUCGGACGGUUCUCUUGCGUUGGCUUGUGGGCCGCCGCCGAUGAUCCAGUUUGCCGUGCAGCCUAAUCUGGAGAAGAUGAACUAUGAUGUCAAGAAUUCGUUGCUUAUAUUUUGAAGAGUGGAGCUAGCUAGAUCCACGGUAAUAUGUACAUUAUUAGUGUUGUAUCAUUGUUUCCACUUUUGAGGGGGAGAUUCAUUUAGAUGGAAAAAUAAAGUCACUUGUACUCUCAAAUUGGCAUUCCUUUUCUCAUGUUGAGAAAAAUGCCAAUGCGCCAUUUUAUAGUUGUAUAUCUAAGUCUCUGUUUUUCAUCAAUGACAUUCCAUAGUCUUAUACUAAAGUCUUGUUUUUCAUCAAAGUCAUUGCAUAUAUAGUUGUAUACCACGACGUGUUGUCUUUUUUACGAUCAAGUCAAAUAUAUAUAGCGGUUUUGAUCUCUUAACUUAAGAAUUUGGUCGUGGUUUAACGUGUUAUAUGUUACAUUAUUCUAAAUGAUAGUUAGUUGUUACGAUAUUCUAAAUAGUAGAGUUAACGUUUUUUAAAAUGAUUUGAGUCGAGGAUUCAAUUUUCUUUAUUGUUUUGUUGAUUAUUUUUUUAAAAUUGUAAAAUCAAACAACUUUUAAAAAAGAUACGUUUAGAAAUACGGUGAGUCGAUUUAAACAUUCAGUUUGUGGAUUUAACAAUCUGUUUUACUCUCUUGGAUUUUGGUAUAGCCGAAAGGUCAGCUAUGAACUUAGUUUCCGCGUCCAACCCCAACAUGCAUGGCUCUUCCAAACUCUGAUGGGCUUUGUUGGGAAUCGUAUUAUGUACCUGAAGAUCGAGAUUGAGUGAAGCUUUGUUUUCUUUAUCCAUAUCCAUAUGCAGACAUGAACCAACCUGGAUUCCUGCGAGCCAAUUAAGUCUUUUCUGGCAUGAAUUUGACAACAGCUAGCCAUUUUGGGUGGAAGAGUGUAUAUAAUUUUAAUGGAAAUUAAUGUCACAUCUCAUUCUUAGUAAGAAACUAAGGGGACACUUGAUUAAAUAUUUAUGGUAACAAUCUAGGAUUGAGCGAUUGGCUUAUGCAACUAUGCAAGUAGUUAUAUAUAACAUUAUCUAGGACUUCAACGAUGGAGUUCAUCACCCAAAUUGAAAAGAGCUCCAACGUUGUUGGGUUGUUUCCGAGAGUCAACUAUAUAUGAUGUAGCUCCUGAGAGUUGGCUAAAUCAAAUGACAAAAAUGCAAGUUGUUCAUGCAUGCCUUUUCUUUGCCUGGAAUUUAGUUCAAUAGAUUUCUACCAAGUUGGAGAUCAAAGAAAGAUGAGAGAGGCGGUACCGCCGGUACGUGAAAACAACAAGAUGGAGCAAGUAGCAGUUCUUAAUAGUUAGCACAUGAGUUCGACAUAUUAGCUAGCUAUUUUCUUCUGUUUUGCAAAUUGUAUCACAAUUAAAAGUUCCAUCACACUCAUGCACUUCACCUCUAAUUGGUUGUUCGUUACCUGAAGGAAUCAGUAUGUCGACCUCACUAAAUUAGUUAUACGGUUAUACCGACUUAUACCCUGCUUAUAAUCGAAACUUAAAACUAGCCGUAUUUGAAUAAUUUUUUAUUUUAAUUUUAAUUUUAAUUUUUAAAUUUUUUUUUUACAAAAGUGAUAUAUACAUUAGUCAUAUAAACUAAUUGAAUGGUGAAGAUAUAGAACUUGACCGAAAAAUGAGUCAAAUAAGGAUCGUUACAUUUUAAUUUCAAAACGAAACUUCAUUCUGGUUGUUUAAAGUUUCAAGAAACGAAUGCAAAUUCAAACUCAAUAUAUCAACUAUGUACAAGUAAUAACAAUAAACAAGAGUGACCCAUGCUCGUAGCUGAUUUUACACACGAAUUAAUUUACACGAAUGAAUGAUGUAGCCUGUAUGUGCAGUAUUUGUAAGGUAUGGUGCAGUAUUCGUAUGGUACAUUUAGUAUGAGUUGACAUCAAAAAUACCGGCGUGCCGAUAAGGGAUACAACAACGCAAUCACAGCUUUGAACAACCUACAAACCUUCGUUGAAAUUUGAGCUGAUGGGUGAAGAGAAUGUGCUCCUUUAGCGGUGAAAAAUACAUAUUAAAUGUUGAGACCAAGUGACAAAAUUUCCCUCCCAAUUCCUUGCAUUGAGGUUCUCUUAUGAUUUUAUUUGGUUUGCUUCACAGCCCAAGUUAUUUUGCUUCAUAGUGAGGUCUCCACUGCAAAAGAGA
rnacentral:lncRNA from 1 species